UUAUUAUAUCUUGUUUAUCCUUUCUAUUAUUCCUGAGUUAGUCCUAGUGGGAAAGUCGGUGAUGUUGGGGCCGAACCCACUGGAAACUUUGUUGUAUUUCUCACCCCACUAUUUCCACAGAGCCGGGACCGAGCGAGCCGCCGAGCGAUCGAGGUAAAGGUAUCGCGCCUUAGACAGAGGCCACCAGAGUUGAGUUGGGUUUACAUUUUGUUAGUAGAGUACCCUAUGUUCAUCUUUUGUAUUUGAUGACUAGAGAUGUUGAGAAAAGAAUGUAAAGCUUAUUUUGAGGUAAAUGUGAUGUAAGAAAGAAAUGAUGCAAUGUGUAAUGAAGUACAAGGAAUCAUGAAUGUAAGUGAAUGCUUGUAUGUGAUCAAAACGAAUCAUAGUACUUGUGUGGAUAUUAGUUCCUUUCUUUCACUAAUGGCUAUUGCUUACCCUCGUGUAAGCCGUUUGUGUAUGUUUCCGCUAAUGCAAUUCUUGUUUGAAUAUGUAUAUGUGAUGAGCCUUGGGCGGAUAGGGGAAACUCUGUCCGUUCGGCGUCUGUUUGACGAGCUCGGGCCGGCCCAAAUUGGUAUCGGUCCCGGGGCGUGACAUGCACGAUGUGUUCCACGUGUCAAAUCUCCGCAAGUAUAUUCAUGAUCCCGACCAUAUCCUCUCGUUUGAGCCAUCCUAUAUAUAAGAUAUAAUAGGGCUAACCUCUUAACCCGGCUUAAGCAUUUUGGGUGGUGGCUAGACCCAAGAGGUUAAGAGAGUUAAGCGUGCUAGGACGGGAGUAGUCCUAGGAUGGGUGACCCCCUGGGAAGUCGGGGCGUCACACUUGCGGGAGUGCACGAUGUGUUCCACGUGUCAAAUCUCCGCAAGUAUAUUCAUUAUCCCGACCAUAUCCUCUCGUUUGAGCCAUCCGAGAUUCAGGAGGAUAUGACCUACGUUGUAAGGAAGUGAAUUCUCGAAAUUCGAGAAUUGUACUUCGUCCAGAAUCGACUAAUUUUCAAGUGAGUACCAUUCGUAGGAGCUAAAGAUGUCCAAAGUACAAAAAGUUCAUUGGAAGUGAGUCCACGAGAGCCAUGAUGCAAAAAUCUGCCCUAGGCAGAUUUUGCUCUCGGGGACCGGUCCCUGGCAGGGAGAGACUGGUUCCCGAGGUUGGUGGUUGCUGGGAAAUCCUUGAUGCAACCGGUCCCAGGCUGAGGAGACCGGUCCCCAAAGGCGACACCAGCGAGAGAAAGCCAAGUUUUGCUAAGUCCUGAAAUCCAGCUUUCGGGGACUGAUCUCUCAGGCAAGGAUCGGUCUCCCGAGGACCGGUCUCUCUGGGAGAGACCGGUUCCCGAGCACGUGCACUCGGGGGAGGCUCUCGGGGACCGGUCCCAGGCAGGAGAGACCAGUCUCGUUGCGCGCAGAUUGCCCAGUGAGGGCUGUGCACAGGAUAUAAAGUUGAGGGGUUUAUUGGCUAUUGUCACAUUAGAUGAGGGGUAUACAUGGGAGAUUACUCUCUCUCUCUCUCUCUCAUUUCCACCCUCACUCUCUCCUUCUCAUUGCUCUCUCUCUCUAACAAGGGAAAGAGAAGAAAGAGAAAAAAGAGAAGAAGAAAGGAAGGAGAAGAAGAAGAAGAAGGAGGAGAGCAAGCUCAAGGAGGCUUUGAGCAUCUCCCACUUCCUCUCUUCACCAUUGGAGUAGCUCAAGAGAUAAGCUCUUGAACCUUAGCUUAUGGAACUUAGGGUUUUUGGGUUUUGAGCUUUUGAGAUGGGGUCAAAUGGACCCCUAGCAUCAUUGUUGGUGGAUUAAAGCUAGAGUUAGGGUUCCAAAGUGCAAAAAGCAAGAUAUGAACCCUAGGGCUCCAAAAUGGGAUUUUUGGUAAAGUAUAGGAUUGAUCUCAUUUGAGGCCUUGUAAACCUAAUUGCAAGGUGUCCAAACGCGGGGGCGAAGUCGGAUUCACGAUUCGUCGAGUGGAUUUAGAGCUAUCGGCAAAUUAAGGCCGAUUGAGCAUUGUUUUGGACCGAGGAGGCCAAGACCUCGUCGUAAAGUUCGCCGAAGAGUAUUUCUAGAACCCUCGUAUCUCAAAAGGUGGGGGGUGUCAUCCCGAAGCAACCGAACUCUUUUCUAUGUCUUAGAAAUACAUGAUUUGCAUCUCUUGCAUGUUGCAUUGUAGGAUUGCAUUGUAGGAGUGGCAUUAAAGUAGUGCAUUUGACACUAGAGGGUCUUGUGAACUUAGGGAUAGAUGGACUCCCUAGAAAAUGCCUCGUGAACAAUGAACUUAGUAAAGCUAAGUAGCAAUGUAUGAACGUCGGAAAAACGAGAUUCCGAGAGAUAUGUUGACCCUAGUUGUAGGGUAUCCCCACAUGAAGGGGAUGGAUCGAGCUCACGGUCUGUUUUGGGGUGGUAUAGCCAUCCAUAUCCUCACAUGGAGAGGAUUGUCGUCGAGUACUCCGGAGUGUCGGGCGAUUAGAACCACAUGGAGGUCCACAGACAGUCCCGGGUUUGGAGGCACAUGGAGCUCCCUUGCCCAAUACGGGAUGAAAAGGUGAGUUGUAGGCGAUCCCAAGGGUUUCGCCACAGAUUGGGUAAAUGAACAGAUAACAAUGUCAUUGAACAUUAUCAUUCGAAUAUGGAUCGAAUUUGUUAGCAUGAUAGUAAACCUUUACUAUAUGAUGCAUGCAUUCAUUAUACACAAUUAUGGGCAUAGUAACAUAAUUUUUCUUUAUGCCUUUACAGCUUUGAGAUAUCUAUCUAUCUAUCUACUUGUUAUUUGUGCCCACUUCGACCUAGUAGGGAGAUCGGCGAAGUUGGCGGCCGAGCCCACUGGAAACUAUGAAAGAUAGUUCUCACCCCACUCUAUUUCCAGUGGUAGGUACAGGAUUGCCGAGAGAGGACCGCGGCAAGGGCAUCGCACCCGAUCAGUGAGACCGUGGUAGUAUAGUAGCUUUCCUUUUUGUAUUAGCACACCUAUGUAUUGAGAGAGAUUCAUUGUAGGUGAGGAUUUGGAGAGCUAUGUAUUUUGGAUGAACCAAUGUAUUCAUUUCGAGAAAAAGAUGUAAAUGAAAAAGAAUGAAACUAUUGUAAUAGUUAGUAAAGUACUCUCUUUAUUUCACAUGCUUUAUCUUGUGGAUUACUUUCUCUUAGUGUUGUUGGCAUUGUCUAUGCGCUCGUUGUUUGCGUACUUAUAGAAUUUAAAUUUCUGGGUAAAUUCUUGUACUCAAUCUGUUGUUGAGCCAUGGGCGGGCAGGAGAGGUGCUGUCCGUUCGGCGUCCGCUCGCCGCGCCCGAACCGUGCCAAAUUGGUAGUGGUUUCGGUGUGGGGGCGUGACGGAGCGUGGUAUCAGAGAGAUAAGAGCAAGUAAAGAGAGAAAGUCUAGGAUGACCUAGGAGACCCCAGGUUGGUAAGCCCUAAGGUUAUAGGUGUAAGGAAGUGAAUUCUCGAAAUCCGAGGAUUGUACUUCAACCGGGGUCGACUGACUGUCGAGAGAAUACCCUUUAUGGAAGUUUAGAAUGCCCAAAACACAAAAAGUGCUUGGGAGUUGAGUCUGCGAGAGCAAAUCGGUAAAAUCUGGACUAAGCAGAUUUUUGCUCUCGGGGAUCGGUCCCUGGAGGGAAGGACCGGUCCCCGUAGCUGGGGGUCGCGGGGCAAGGUCGAUGCAACCGGUCCCUGGCUGAGAGGACUGGUCCCCGUGCGCGACACCCGCGAGAGGAAGCCUAAAUUUGGCUAAGUCCUGAAGGUUCCCCUUUCGGGAACCGGUCUCCUAGGAGAGACCGGUCUCCCGAGGACCGGUCUCCCGGGGAGAGACCGGUUCCCGAACACGAAAAGUCCCCAGACUGCAGGGAGAGCUCUCGGGGACCGGUCCCUUGUCGGGGGGACCGGUCCCUUGUCGGGGAGACCGGUCCCUCUAGGCGAAAACUGCCCAGUGAGGGCUGUGCAAUGGAUGAAAAGCUGAGGGGUCUAAGUACAAAAUGGCCUUUAUUAGAGUGGGCUGAGCCCUCUCUCUCUCCCUCACACUCUUAUUUCACUCUCUCUCACUCUCUUUCUCUCUUGCUCCCUCUCUCUCUCUAGAAAUGAAAGAAGGAGAAGAAGAACAAGGAGGAGAGGAAAGAAAAGAAGAGAAAGAUAAGGAAGGAGAAGAAGGAGGAGAUCAAGAGGAAGGCUUUGAGCACCUCCAUCUCCCUCUCCUCUUCCCAUUGGUGUAGCUCUUGAGGUAAGCUACUAAACCCUAGCUUCUAGAACUUAGGGUUUUGGAUUUUUAUGCUUUGGAACGGGUCAAAUAGACCCUAGGCAAGCUUCUAAGUAGAUCAAUCCCAUGAUUCUAGGGUUUUAUUGGUGGGUUGCUAUAUGUGCAACCUAGGGCUCCAAAUGGGGGCAUUUUAUAAAGUAUGAGAUUGAUCUCAUUUGAGGCCUUGUAAACCUAAUCGAUAGAUGCCCAAACGCGGGGGCGAAGUCGAUUUCGCGAUUUAUCGAGCGGGCUUAGAGCAAUCGGCGAAUUACGGUCGUUUCGUCGUUAUCUUGGACCAAGGGAGGCUAAAGCCUCAUCGUAGUGCUCGCCGAGGAGCGUUUCCUAAGCCUCUACAUCGAUUAAAGGUGGGGGGUGCUAUCCCGAAGCUUUCGAACUCCUUUCUAUGUCUUAGAUUGCAUUUAAUCUCAUCUCUUCAUGUUGCAUUGUAGGAUUGCAUGAUAGUACCUUUCCUUAUGCUUUCUAAUUGAUAACCUAGUGUACUCGAAACGCUUGGUAACUUAGAUAGGUGAGGAUUGGGUCGGAACGUGGAUCCUAUGAUGCGAAAAAAAAGAGGUGAACCCGCUGGGGGUAUUGAUGACAUAGAAAGUAGUGUUUAGUGUUAAGGAACACACGAGUGGCAUUAAUGUAGUGUAUAUAACACUAGAGGUCGAUGGACCUAGGGAUAGGUGGAUCCCUUAGAAAAUGCCUUGUGAACAAUGAAUUUAGAGAGCUAAAUAGCAUUGGAUGAAUGUCGGGAACAAAUGAUUCCGCAAGAUAUGUUGACCCUAGAGUAGGGCAUCCUCACUUGGAGAGGAUUUGAUUGGGUUGUGGACCCUAGUUAUAGUGCUUCCUCACUUGGAGAGGAUUUGAUUGGGUGUUGACCCUAGUUACAGUGUAUCCUCACUUGGAGAGGAUAGAUCUAGCUCACAGUUUGCGUUUUGGGUGGUAUAGCCAUCCAAUCCCCACAUGGCAGGGAUUGUCGUCGAGUACUCCGGAGUGUCGCGCGACUAGGACCACUUGGAGGUCCAGACCACAUGGAGGUCCACAGACGGUCCCGGGCUUGGGUGCACUUGGAGCUCCCUCCCUACUUUGGGAUUGAAAGGUGAGUUAUAGGCGAGCCCUAGGGCCUCGCCACAGAUUGGGUAAAUGGAAGGUUAAAGGUUUAAAAUGUCAUUGAACAUCGCUAUUCGAACAUGGAUCGAAAUUGCUAGCAUGGUAGCCAACCUUCAUUAUAUGAUGCAUGCAUUCAUAUUCAUGAUUAUGGGCAUAGUAGCAUAGUUCUUCCUACUAUCGCAUUUACAGCUUUCAGAUACAUAUCUAUAUAUCUAUCUAUCUAUCUGUUGUUACUUGUGCCCACUUGGACCUAGUGGGGAGAUCGGCAGAGUCGGCGGCCGAGCCCACUGCGAACUAUGGAAGAUAGUUCUCACCCCACUCUAUUUCCAGUGGUAGGUACAGGGUUGCCGAGAGAGGACCGCGGCAAGGGCAUCGCGCCCGAUCAGUGAGACCGUGGUAGUAUAGUAGUUUUUCUUUUUGCAUUAGUACACCUAUGUAUUCGAGAGAAAUUCAUUGUAGGUGAGGAUUUGGAGAGCUAUGUAUUUUGGAUGAAAAGUGUAUUCAUUUAAAGAAAAUGAUGUAAAGGAAAAGAUGCAAAACUAUUGUAAUAGUUAGUAAAGUACUCUCUUUAUUUCACAAUGCUUUAUCUUGGGGAUUACUUGCUCCUUGUAUGGUUGGCACUGUUUGUGCCCCGUUGAAUGUGUAUGUUUAGAAUUUAAUUUCCUGGGUAAAUUCUUGUACGCAUUCUUGUUGCUGAGCCUUGGGCGGAUAGGGGAGGUGCUGUCCGUUCGGCGGUCCGCCGCCGCGGCCGAAUCGUGCCAAAUUGGUAGUGGUUUCGGGGCGGGGCGUGACAGUCUUAUUUGGUAUCAGAGCAAGGAGCAAGUAAAGAGAGAAAGUCUAGGAUGACCUAGGAGACCCCAGGUUGGUGAGCCCUAAGGUUAUAGGUGCGUGAGCGGAACGUGAACCUAUAGCGAUGGCGGAAGUUGAUUCGAUUGGGUCGAAGUUGGUAAUAUGUCUCUAGUUGCGAUUAAGAGACGGAUUGAAGUGGUACGAGUUCUUGUCUUGAGGUUGUUGUGUCAGCGGCCGACGACAUGAUACCGAGAGUCUAGAACGAGUACACUUGUGUGCUUCCGCCCGAUUUUGUCGUUGAGUCGACAAGUGUCGUAAUUUCGACAAGGUAAUUGGUUAAGGUGACUGACCAGGUAUUUGCGUUGCAGGGACUAAUGUCUCCAAGACGCUACACGCGUAGGACUGCCCCAGCACCGACCCCUGAGGUGCCCGAGCAGGGAGAACCGAGCGUGAUUGAUCAGUUGCAAGCGCAAGUAACCGCGCUGACCGAUGUGGUGCAGCGCCAGGAGACCCGAUUCGAGCGGCUCCAGGAGCUUUUGAAGCGGCAAGCGGCGGCAGCGGCCGCGACGGUGACGGACGGAUGCGAUGUGCCCGCGCCCUCGGCUCGCGUACCUGAGCCGACUGAGGGUGAGGGUAUAGCGGCGGUCCCGGUGGCGGCGCGUCCCCCGCCGGCGAUCGUGCCAUCGGCGGCGUCGGGAUCGGCUACACCUGAUGCGACGGCCGAAGACGUGGAAGGAGAGCGCGCAUUGGCGGCUCUUAUCAAGUUCAACAAGUUCCAUCCGCCAACCUUUGAGGGCGAGAAGGUGGAACCGGCGAUGGUCGAGUCUUGGAUCGACUCGAUGGAAACCCUCUUCGAAGACUUACGUACCUUGGAGAGAGAUAAGGUGUACCUCGCCACUCAUUGUUUGGAGAAGGCGGCGAAGGUCUGGUGGAAGCGCGUCAAGCGGGAUCGGCUUCCCGGCCUUCUGCCGAUGCUGUGGGAGGAAUUCAAGCGGGAGAUGUUCGCCAACUACUUCCCCAAUACAUUGAAGAGGAAGCUCAAGGAGAAGUUCCGCAAGCUAGAGCAAGGGGACCGCUCCGUGGCGGAGUACGAACAGGAAUUCUCCCACAUCAUAGAUUGUGUCCCGGAUGUUGUCAAGGAUGACCGGGACCGGGCCGAGUGGUUCUUGCGAGGACUUCAGCCGGGGAUCUACAAGGCCGUGCAAAUACUUAAGCUCACGACCUUUGUGGAGGUCUUUGAUCGAGCCCUAUGGGCAGAGCACGGGGAUGCCCACAUGCGGGAGAAGCGUGAGCUUUUGGCGGAGUCCAAGGACAAGGGCAAGAAACGCCAAGGCGGCGGUAGUUCGGGUGGUCAGACACGUUACAAGAAACCCCCUAAGUAUCCGCCCACUCAACAGAAGAACGGUGGAGCGCGGCGAUGCAUUGUAUGCUGCGGGGACCACCCAGUCUCGCGCUGUGAACAAGGCCAGGGCAAGUGCUACAAGUGUGGGCAACCGGGCCACUUCAUUCGGGAUUGCCCUGGAGGAGGAGCCUCACCUGCCCCAUCAUUUGCAUCAGCGCCGGCGAUUCCAGCUCACUAUGGAGGAGCUCCAUCGACGGCUGCGUCGACAGGACGUGCGAUGACGCCGCGUCAACCUGAAAUGGCGAGAUCGGCCCCGAGCGGUCUGGUGUUCGCUGCUCAGGUGCAAGCUGAGGAGCCUACGGAGGCGGAGGAGCAUCGCCUUGUGGCAGGUAUGAUUUUAAUUAACGGAGUUCGCUCCAGGGCUUUAUUUGAUACAGGAGCCACACAUUCAUUCAUAAGUAGAUCAUUCGCACGCAUGCAUGACAUCCUCAUGGAAGCGAGUGACAAGUGGCGAGUGGAGGGCCCUGGGUCGACGUUCAAUACCUACACGGAGUGCGCCUCGUGUCCGGUACAAAUAGGCGACUGGAUAAUGCCUAUUCGGACGCUAGGACUUCAGAAAUUAGAGGCGUACGACAUUAUAUUGGGCAUGGACUGGCUCUCAAAAUAUCAUGCGACGAUCGACUACAAGAGCAGGGUGAUCACAUUCCGUGAGCCAGGACAAGAAGAAUUCACCUAUCGGGCUUGCCAGAGCUCGUGCUUCGUCGCGACGGUGUCGGCGACGAGAGCAAGAAAGUUGGUGAACAGCGGUUGCUCAGCGUUUCUAGCAACUGUUAUGGAAAUGGAGCAAGCGGCUCCAACAUUGGAGGAAAUAUCGGUGGUGCGGGAGUUCUCGUAUGUAUUCCCCGCAGAGUUGCUGGGGAUACUACCGGAUCGAGAGAUCGAGUUCGUCAUAGACUUGGUUUCCGGUACUGCACCGAUCUCGAAGGCUCCGUACCGAAUGGCGCCGGCGGAACUAAAGGAGUUGAGGAGUCAACUACAAGAUCUCCUCGACAAAUAGUUUAUCCGGCCGAGUGUAUCACCGUGGGGAGCCCCGGUGUUAUUCGUGAGGAAGAAAGAUGGAUCGUUUAGACUCUGCGUGGAUUAUCGAGAGUUGAACAGAGUCACGAUCAUUAAUAAGUACCCACUUCCCCGAAUCGAUGACCUAUUCGAUCAGCUGCAAGGGUCGUGUGUGUACUCGAAGAUAGACUUGGAAUCCGGCUACCACCAGUUGAAGAUCAAGUUGGAGGAUGUGCAAAAGACCGCGUUUCGUACGCGGUAUGGACACUACGAAUUCACGGUCAUGCCAUUUGGACUCACGAAUACUCCAGCGGCGUUCAUGGAUUUGAUGAACCGUGUCUUCAAAGAGUAUUUGGACCGAUUUGUCGUGGUCUUUAUAGACGACAUAUUGGUCUAUUCUCGUAGCGACGAGGAACAUGCCGAGCAUUUGAGAAUAGUGCUUCGUGAAGUCGCCUUCUUAGGGCAUGUAAUUUCUGGCUUCGUGAAGUCGCCUUCUUAGGGCAUGUAAUUUCUGCGGGUGGAGUUUCUGUAGACCUGAGAAAAGUUGAGGCAAUCAAGGAUUGGCCGCGCCCGACGAAUGUCACGGAGGUUCGAAGCUUCGUGGGCUUAGCGGGCUAUUAUAGGCGGUUUGUGGAAGGCUUUUCCAAGAUAGUGAUUCCACUUACCCGCCUGACCCAGAAAGGCACCAAGUUUGUUUGGAGCGAGGAGUACGACCGGAGUUUCAAAGAGUUGAAGCAGAGAUUGACUUCGACUCCGGUGCUCGCUCUACCGGUGCAAGGCGAAGACUUCGUAGUCUACAACGAUGCUUCCUAUCUUGGGUUGGGGUGUGUAUUGAUGCAAAACGGGAAAGUGAUUGCUUACGCAUCCCGUCAGCUAAAGAGUUAUGAGAAGAACUAUCCCAUCCAUAAUUUGGAGCUAGUGGCGGUGAUUUUCGCCUUGAAGCUGUGGAGGCACUCCUUAUAUGGUGCCCACUGUGAGAUCUAUACCGACCACAAGAGCAUGAAGUACUUGUUUACACAGAAGGAGCUCAACAUGCGUCAGCGGCGGUGAUUAGAAUUGUUAAAGGAUUACGACGUUGAUAUCCUCUACCACCCCGGGAAGGCAAAUGUGGUCACGAACGCACUUAGUAGGAAGUCGGCGAAGAAUCUCGCUUUGAUGUUACCCAACAAACGCCCUUAUGGCUGGAUAUGGAGCGACUGGAUUUCGAAGUGGUUCCUCCCGAGAUUCCGGCCCAGUUGAUGUCACUCGUUGUCCAACCGACCUUGUUGGAGAGAAUUAAAGAGUUGCAACCUGCAGACCCCUCCAAAAGGUACGGCGAAACAUCGAGGGAGGCCAUGGCGGAGAGUUCAAUGUAGACGCCGAUGGUACGCUUCGAUUUCGGAAUCGGAGGUGUAUACCCAAAGAUGGAGAGCUUCGCGAAUUGAUCCUACAAGAAGCACACCGAUCUCCAUAUGCGGAUCACCCGGGGGGCACCAAGUGUAUCAGGGAUUAAAAAUGCACUACUGGUGGCCGAAAAUGAAAGGCGAUAUCGGACGCUUUGUGGCGAAGUGCCUAACAUGCCAACAGGUAAAGGCCGAGCGUCGAUUCCCAUCGGGAAAGCUUCAAAGCCUACCAAUCCCCGUUUGGAAAUGGGAGGAUAUAUCGAUGGACUUCGUGGUCGGCCUGCCUCGCUCAACGGGCGGCCACGAUGCGAUUUGGGUGAUUGUGGACCGAUUAACGAAGUCGGCUCACUUCUUGUCGAUCCACACCACGUGGUUGGGUGACAAGUUAGCGCAGGUAUAUCUUGACGAGGUGGUUAGACUGCACGGAGUAUCGAAAUCGAUCGUGUCGGAUCGUGACCCUCGAUUCACCUCAUAUUUUUGGAAGAGCCUGCAAGAAGCCCUUGGCACACAGCUCGACUUUAGCACAGCGUUUCAUCCCCAAACCGAUGGGCAAACGGAGAGAACCAUUCAAACUCUGGAGGAUAUGUUGCGGGCGUGUGUCAUCGACUAUAAGGGAAGUUGGUGUGACCACCUACCCAUAGACGAGUUCGCCUACAAUAACAGUUAUCAUGCUAGUGUGGAGAUGGCACCGUUCGAGGCUCUCUAUGGGCGGACGUGUCGGUUUCCCAUACACUGGAGCAAUGUGGGCGAACGGGCAGAGUUCGGCCCUGAUGUGUUGCGAGAAGCGGAGGAAAAGGUUCGCCUUGCUCGCAAGAGAUUGCUCACGGCGCAGUCGAGGCAGCAAAGCUAUGCAGAUAGGCGCCGUCGAGAUAUAGAGUUCGCGGUGGGUGACUGUGUAUUCUUGAAGGUUUCACCAAUGCGGGGUGUGAAGCGGUUUGGAGUGCGGGAAAAGCUGAGUCCCCGGUACAUCGGGCCAUAUGAAAUAUUGGAGCGAGUCGGCACGGUGGCUUAUCGACUUGCUUUGCCGCCGAAGCUCGCGGAUGUACACAAUGUGUUCCACGUCUCCAAUCUCCGCAAGUAUAUUCACGACCCCGAGCAUGCAAUGCUAUAUGAGCCACCAGAACUCUAAGAAGAUUUGACCUAUGAAGAGUUUUCGGUGGGGGUAAUCGCCCGAGAGGUGCGAAAGCUGAGGAAUCGAGAAAUCCUCUAUGUGAAAAUUCGGUGGAGCAAUCAUGAUGAUCGCGAGGCCACCUGGAAACUCGAGGAGCUGAUGAGAAAACACCAUCCUUAUCUAUUUGAGGAGUGAGGUAUGAGUUUAAAUUAAAGUUAGAGAAUUGUUCGUUUCGAGGACGAAACUCCUUUUAAGGAGGGGAGGAUGUAAGGAAGUAAAUUCUCGAAAUUCGAGGAUUGUACUUCAACCGGGGUCGACUGACUGUCGAGAGAAUACCCUUUGUGGAAGUUUAGAAUGCCCAAAACACAAAAAGUGCUUGGGAGUUGAGUCCGCGAGAGCAAAUCGGUAAAUCUGGACUCAGCAGAUUUUUGCUCUCGGGGAUUGGUCCCUGGAGGGAAGGACCGGUCCCCGUAGCUGGGGGUCGCGGGGCAAGGUCGAUGCAAUCGGUCCCUGGCUGAGGGGACCGGUCCCCGUGCGCGACACCCGCGAGAGGAAGCCUAAAUUUGGCUAAGUCCUGAAGGUUCCCUUUUCGGGAACCGGUCUCCCAGGAGAGACCGGUCUCCCGAGGACCGGUCUCCCGGGGAGAGACCGGAUCCCGAACGCGAAAAAUCCCCAGACUGCAGGGAGAGCUCUCGGGGACCGGUCCCUUGUCGGGGAGACCGGUCCCUCUGGGCGAAAACUGCCCAGUGAGGGCUGUGCAAUGGAUGAAAAGCUGAGGGGUCUAAGUGCAAAAUGGCCUUUAUUAGAGUAGGCUGAGCCCUCUCUCUCUCCCUCACACUCUUAUUUCACUCUCUCUCACUCUCUUUCUCUCUUACUCCCUCUCUCUCUCUAGAAAGGAAAGAAGGAGAAGAAGAACAAGGAGGAGAGGAAGGAAAAGAAGAGGAAGAUAAGGAAGGAGAAGAAGGAGGAGAUCAAGAGGAAGGCUUUGAGCACCUCCAUCUCCCUCUCCUCUUCCCAUUGGUGUAGCUCUUGAGGUAAGCUACUAAACCCUAACUUCUAGAACUUAGGGUUUUGGGUUUUUAUGCUUUGGAAUGGGUCAAAUGGACCCUAGGCAAGCUUCUAAGUAGAUCAAUCCCAUGAUUCUAGGGUUUUAUUGGUGGGUUGCUAUAUGUGCAACCUAGGGCUCCAAAUGGGGGCAUUUUAUAAAGUAUGAGAUUGAUCUCAUUUGAGGCCUUGUAAACCUAAUCGAUAGGUGCCCAAACGCGGGGGCGAAGUCGAUUUCGCGAUUUAUCGAGCGGGCUUAGAGCAAUCGGCGAAUUACGGUCGUUUCGGCGUUAUCUUGGACCAAGGGAGGCUAAAGCCUCAUCGUAGUGCUCGCCGAGGAGCGUUUCCUAAGCCUCUACAUCGAUUAAAGGUGGGGGGUGUUAUCCCGAAGCUUUCGAACUCCUUUCUAUGUCUUAGAUUGCAUUUAAUCUCAUCUCUUCAUGUUGCAUUGUAGGAUUGCAUAGUAGCUCCUUUCCUUAUGCUCUCUAAUUGAUAACCUAGUGUACUCGGAACGCUUGGUAACUUAGAUAGGUGAGGAUUGGGUCGGAACGUGAAUCCUAUGAUGCGAAAGAAAAGAGGUGAACCCGAUGGAGGUAUUGAUGACAUAGUAAGUAGUGUUUAGUGUUAAGGAACACACGAGUGGCGUCCAAAUGUUAAAUGAUGACGAGUGGCAUUAAUGUAGUGUAUAUAACACUAGAGGUCGAUGGACCUAGGGAUAGGUGGAUCCCGUAGAAAAUGCCUUGUGAACAAUGAAUUUAGAGAGCUAAAUAGCAUUUGAUGAAUGUCGGGAACAAAUGAUUCCGCAAGAGAUGUUGACCCUAGAGUAGGGCAUCCUCACUUGGAGAGGAUUUGAUUGGGUUGUGGACCCUAGUUAUAGUGCUUCCUCACUUGGAGAGGAUUUGAUUGGGUGUUGACCCUAGUUACAGUGUAUCCUCACUUGGAGAGGAUAGAUCUAGCUCACAGUCUGCGUUUAGGAUGGUAUAGCCAUCCAAUCCCCACAUGGAGGGGAUUGUCGUCGAGUACUCCGGAGUGUCGCGCGACUAGGACCACUUGGAGGUCCAGACCACAUCGAGGUCCGCAGACGGUCCUGGGCUUGGGUGCACUUGGAGCUCCCUCCCCACUUUGGGAUUAAAAGGUGAGUUAUAGGCGAGCCCUAGGGCCUCGCCACGGAUUGGAUAAAUGGCUACGGAAGGACGCGAUGUGCCCGCACCCUCGACUCGUGUACCUGAGACGGCUGAGGGUGAGGGCAUAACGGCGGUUCCGGUGACGGCACGUCCACCGCCGCAAUUGUCCCUCAAGCGACGUCAGGAUCGACGACUCCCGAGAUGUCGGCCGAGGAUGUGGAGGGGGAGCGUGCGUUGGCGGCUCUUAUCAAGUUUAACAAAUUCCAUCCGCCCAUCUUCGAGGGCGAGAAGGUGGAGCCGGCGAUGGUCGAGUCAUGGAUCGACUCAAUGGAGACUCUCUUCGAAAACCUGCGCACUUUGGAGAGAGAUAAGGUGCAUCUCGCCACCCACUGCUUAGAGAAGGCGACAAAGGUGUGGUAGAAGCGUGUGAAACGGGAUCGGCCUUCCGAUCUUCCACCGAUGUUAUGAGAGGAAUUCAAGCGGGAGAUGUUUGCUAGCUAUUUCCCCGAUACGCUGAGGCGGAAGCUCAAGGAGAAGUUUCGCAAGUUGGAGCAAGGGGACCGCUCGAUAGCGGAAUAUGAACAGGAGUUCUCCCACAUCAUUGACUGUGUCCCGGAUGUUGUAAAGGAUGAUCGGGACCGGGCCGAUUGGUUCUUGCGAGGACUUCGGCCGGGAAUCUACAAGGCCGUGCAAAUACUUAAGCUUACGACCUUCGCGGAGGUCUUCAACCGAGCACUUCGGGCGGAGCACCGAGACGCCCACGUUCGGGAGAAGCGUGAGAUGCUGGCCGAGUCCAAGGACAAAAGCAAGAAACGCCAUGGCAGCAGCGAUUCGGGGGGACAAACACGUUCCAAGAAGCCCCCGAAGUAUCCUCGUACUCAGCCAAAGGGCGGUGGAGUGCGACGGUGCAUCAUAUGCGACGGAGACCACCUAGUCUCGCGAUGUGAGCAGGGCCGAGGCAAGUGCUACAAGUGUAGGCAACCGGGGCACUUCAUUCGGGAUUGCCCGGGAGGAGGAGCCUCACCUGCCCCAUUGAUUGCAGCGGUGCCAGCGAUUCCGGCUCACUAUGGAGGAGCUCCACCGGCGGCCGCGACGACGGGACUCGCUCUACCGGCGACCGCCCUGUGACCGGAGUUUUAACGAGUUGAAACAGAGAUUAACUUCGACUCCGGUGCUCGCUCUACCGGUACAGGGCGAAGACUUCGUAGUCUACAGCGAUGCUUCCUAUCUAGGAUUGGGGUGUGUAUUGAUGCAGGGCGGGAAGGUGAUUGCUUAUGCAUCUCGUCAGCUGAAGAGCUAUGAGAAGAACUACCUCAUCUAUGAUUUGGAGCUAGCGGCGAUAAUUUUCGCCUUAAAGCUAUGGAGGCACUACCUAUAUGGUGCCCAUUGUGAGAUCUAUAUCGACCACAAGAGCUUGAAGUAUCUGUUCACGCAGAAAGAACUCAAUAUGCGACAGCGGCGGUGGUUGGAAUUAUUAAAGGAUUAUGAUGUCGACAUCCUUUACAACCCCGGAAAAGCUAAUGUGGUCGCAGAUGCGCUGAGCAGGAAAUCGGCGGAGAACCUCUCUAUGUGGGUCACAAACCAGACACCGUUAUGGCUAGACAUGGAACAGAUGGGUCUAGAGGUGGUUGCUCCUGAGACUCCAGCUCAAUUGAUGGCAUUUGUUGUCCAACCGACCUUGUUGGAGAGGAUUAAGGAUCUACAACCCGCAAACCCAGAACUCCAAAAGGUGCGGCGAAACAUCGAGGACGGUCUACGCGGCGACUUCUGUAUAGACGUCGAUUGUUCGGCCACCAUUUUUUGAUAGGACAAUCUAUUCCAAAAAGAAUAUUGAAGGACAAUCUAUUGUUCGGCCACCAUUUUUUGAUGGGACCGAUUAUCCUUUUUGGAAGAUUAGAAUGAAGAUAUUCUUUCAAUCUCUAGAUUUUGAUAUUUGGGAUAUAAUCGAAAGUGGUUAUAUCACUCCAUCAAAAUGAAGAGCGGAAUGGAAUGAAGCCGAAAAAUUUUGCUUUCAAUUGAAUGCUAAAGCUAUCAAUUCAUUCCUUUGCGCUCUUAGUAGAGAAGAGUUUCACCGAAUCUCUACAUGCACAACGGCUAAAGAGAUUUGGGAUAAAUUAGAAGUUACUCAUGAAGGUACUUCUAGGGUGAAGGAAUCUAAAAUAAGCAUGCUUAUGUCAAAUUAUGAACUAUUCAAAAUGGAGGAAAGUGAAUCCAUUUCGAAUAUGUUCACAAGAUUUACUAACAUUAUAAAUAGCUUGAAAGCCUUAGGUAAGGAUUUUCCUCAAUCGGACUUGGUACGAAAACUUCUUCGUGUACUACCAAGAAGUUGGAUACCUAAGGUUACGGCUAUCCAAGAAGCUCAUGACUUGGACAAAGUAAAAAUUGAUGAACUUGUCGGAUCACUCAUGGCGCAUGAACAACGCCUCAAAGAAUAUGACAACGAAGCGGCUCCUGAGAAAAAGAAAAGCCUUGCACUUAAGGGAGUCAUUGCUUCCGAGAGUGAAGAUGGCGAAGAAGGUUCGAGCGAAGAAAUCGCUAUGAUUUCAAAAAGGCUCGAUCGACUAAUCAAGAAGCGCAACUUGAGGAGACCUAAACGAGACGGGUUCAAAGGUGAAGGAUUCAAGAAAGGAAUCAUUUGCUACAAUUGUAAUAAACCAGGACAUUUGAAAAGUGAAUGCACUCUUCCAAACAAAACUUUUAAGAAAGACAAGAAAAAGAAAGCCUUCACCAGCAACAAGCAUCUCUAAGGAUUAAACACCAAAAACACCAAAAUCCAUCAAAUCCAGUGUACUAUAAUAGAGUAUCACCCUCAAGUCCGAAAUCCAGCUUCCUCUAAAGAUUGCAUCAAGAAAACCCACAAACUCUCAAAUUAAGUCUAAAAACACCAGCAGCACAGAAAAAUGCCAAAUUAACCAUGCUAACCUCAAUCAAAUGUUGUCAAAAUAGGCUCCACGAAAUCUUCAGGAAGUCUUCUAACCAACAAACCAAAUUUUGUGGCAAAUGGAGUUUCCUACGUUGCACACGAGCCAAAACGCCAAAUAUCACUGCUGGAAUUCUACUGAAACUGCAACCCUCAAUGUAAACUUGUGCAAAUUUGGAGGAUUUGAAGGGCUAAAAUGCAAAAAAUGGGUUUCUCUGUGAAAAAGGGUGAAAAAGCUUCUCAGGGGAUCGCACCCAAGCUUUUAUAGAGAGGUGAAAGGAUGAGAUAAGCCCCAGGAACAGAAACACAAACCUGCAGUUCCUGCAGAAACGGGCACUUUCGGGCGCCCUGAACUAUGUUCUGGGCGUCCGAAACCCCCAGGCUACACAAAUGCUCCACUUCGGUUCCUUCGCCCGCAGUGUGCUGCACCCUUAUUGUGACACCCCAAUAGUCCCACAUCGGAUGGGAAAGGGGUUGUCAUUGGGUUUAUAAGAGACUUAGACACUAGUAAUAAUAACUGGGCUUAAGCAUUUUGGGCUGUGGUUGAGCCCAAUGAGUUAUUAUUGUUAGUGGGCUUGGUCGUUACAUUUGGUAUCAAAGCCGGUUCACCAGCUGGACAUGUGUGGCGAGUCUCGGCUGAGCCAGGGUCUGGAUGACGGGCUAGCGAGACGAGUCUCACAUCGCCUAGUGAUCUUGGGCUGUGUGUGUGAUUGGACCGACGAGGACGUCAGGGCCUUAACGGGGGGAGUCUGUGACAUCCCAAUAGUCCCACAUCGGAUAGGAAAGGAGUUGUCGUUGGGUUUAUAAGAGACUUAGAUACUAGUAAUAAUAACUAGGCUUAAGCAUUUUGGGCUGUGGUUGGGCCCAACGAGUUAUUAUUGCUAGUGGGCUGAGUCGUUACACUUAUCGUGGUCCGGCGGCACACACCCACCACCAGACAUGCGUCAACGACAACGAUAUUCCCAAAGUAAAUUUUCGCACCCACUUCUAGGCGCCCGAAACCUAGGAUCCGAAUUGGCUUCCAGUUUCAGUUAAUUUCAACACUCGGUUCUGGGCGACCCAAACCUAUUCUAGGCGCCCAAAACUGGCAAAACUUCAGUUUUGCUUAUUUAAGUGCGCCAAGUCCAUUUCUGCAUCCAUUUCGUGCAGAAUUGACUCCGACUCAGUCCGACACUCUCCAGAUAUGUCGACCAGUCACUAAUACUGUAGCCAAUCCUCUCCAAAACUCCAGAACACUACACGUUCAUAGUGAUCCAAUAGCUCGUUUUCGACGGUUCGACUAUCCUGGACCCAAUGGAACUGACGAAUUUGGGAUUUGAUGCACAGUUUUCGAGAAAAAGGAGGUUUAUUGGAUUUACAUAUAUAUAAGUGUGGUUUUUUGGAAAAUUGGAGAGUAGAUGGAUUAUGUCGCAAAUCGGCGAACAUAUCGAGCAAAACAAAAUUGUGAAUUCAAUGUCCCGAUUGUGCUGAACGCGUUGGGGCAGUCCGUUCGCAAAUCUGACGGAUUGAUCUCCUGAUAUCGUGCAAAGAUCGAGAAGGGGUUGAAAGUUGGCAAAAUGAAAAAUCUGCAAAACACCCUAUAUUUUAUGUGCCAUUUUUGUGCAAUUUCGAACGUCGAAGUGUGUACGCGCGAAAUACACGUGCUACCAGGGUCUCGGCUAAAAAUACUGGAUCUCGGUAGACUUUUGUGCAAAUAUGCCACCUAGUAUAAAGGAGCUAACUAGGGUUUUCAUGGAAGAAAACCCUAGCCUAGCUCAGCUGACCCCUAGCCAACAUCAGCACAUCCCCCUGCCCUAGCCGCGCGUGCCUCGGCCACCUGCGCACGCCGCCGGCAGCCGGAGAGGCCGGUCCUCCCUCUCCUCCAUUAUCUUCUCCACUAAAUCACCCUCCUUCUCUGCCCAUGGACCAGCCAGGGUGGUCCUCACCCACGUGCACCCCCUUGGCAGUGGCCUCAACCUCCGGCGACUUUCUGCGUGCAUCACCGCCUUCCCCACAAGCCACCGCCGCCGCCGCUAGCUCCCUGCGGCCGCCCCGAGCCAGCUUGGGCUGAGACUGAGCCAGCCUCCCUCCCGCGCGCCGCCGCCGCCUAGGGCCGGCCGCGCCGCCCUUCCCCGGCCUCCGGCGACCCAUCGCCGUCGCCCUGUAGCUCUCUGGCCGCCGCCUUGGCCGCUGCGACUAGCUGAGCCUAAGCCGAGCCGAUGCGGGCUCGGGAUGCUCCAGCGCCGUCGCCGCGGCCCUCCUCCAUGGGCCGACGUGAGCGCCGCCUCCCCUUGGUCGGCCGUACUCGUCUGCCCCCGGCGUUCCCGCCGCCGGAGCCCUCUACCGUCCGGACCUGAGCCAAGCUCUUCCUUGACUCGUGCGGCUAGGGCAUCGUUGCCCGCCGCCGCCGCCGCCUACCGUCGUCGGAAGAUGCGCUCCCCGACCUUCUCUUGUUGGCAGCACUCACCUGCCAUCGACCGCCGGCCGCCCGACCGCUGUCGGCCGUGCCAUGACCCUUUAUUGCCUGGUAAGCUUUAUUAUACUGUUUCGUGCAUUAUUUACCGUUCGAAUCACAGUUUUGGCGAACCGGGGCUAUUCCGAUGCCUCGGGAGGUGAGCAAGGUGAUCGUUGGUCAGUGCUGAUCACAGUGCUUACCUCAUUUGGAGUCAAUGAGCCCUAGAUUGAGGAAUUGGACGUGUUUUAGUUUCAGCGCGUAGUGUUUGCUGAACUUCGAGUCGCUCCCGGGCUCUCCACAGUGGUCGGCUAUGCUCCGAAGCACAAGCACGGCCUCCGACACAUUGAGACUUGUCAGCGGGUGUCUCGGCCAGGCUAGAAUGUCCUCGGUUUGAGCUGCGGGCUGUAAAACUCUAAAAAUCAUAUAAAAUGAUGUAAUUUUAUGUAGUCACGGGGGCUUAUUUGCAAAUUUACGUUUAGUGGCCACUGUGGGUGGCGUGUGCGGGUAUCGGGUGACCUCUGGACUUGUUGUCCAAGGCCUCAGGCCUUUCUGGAAAUCGAAUGUCGAUUUUUAGUGUGUUUUUCGGCGAAAUUCGCCGACGGAACGUGAUUUCGGUUCGGAAUUCUUCCGACUGUGCCUCACGGUAGAUCAUGUUGUCGCUGAGACUUGUUGGUUGGUCACACGCAUCGUUUCGAGGGUUCGAAAACGGCGGGUGAGCGACAGUGGGUUCUGGCGUCGAAAUUGACACUUCCGGAAACCCGGAUCAGAACGAUUAUCCGAUGAUAAUCGUUUUGAUGUGAGGAUAAAUGUUUUCUGCUAGGUCACACAAAUUAUCGUGUUUUGUGGCAGCAGGUGACUCGUGGCACGAGUCGGUGAGUUUCGGGACAGUUCAUGGGUCCCGGCGAAGAUCCGGUGCGAUUUUCGAUACUUCCGGCGAGUUACGGCAAUCGGUUUUGGGAAACCGAUUCCCGUGGGUUUACUGGUGGGGAUUGUGAGCUAGUGGUUCUCAUUUGUGGGUUGGAUUCUAACCCGGUGGACCCUUUGUAGGUCCAGUUGGCGUUCUUCUACAGACAGGAGACAGGUGCCACGUACGUACAAGUGGGUAGUUCGACCCGAAGUUGGUAUAGUGGUGCACGCUCGGUGACAUCCCCUUUUUCCUGUUAUUAUCCUGCAUAUACAUUAUGUUGAGCCUAGCGCCUUUAUUAUUCCUUUUAUGCUCUACUUGGUUGCUUUCAUGUCUAGCAUCAUGAGUAGGAGUAGAUCAGGUUUAUGAUUACAUAUGAGAUCGGUGACCUAGACGGUCGGUUCUUAUAUCUCGUACUAUGAUCUAUUCGGUCGGUUCACUGCAUCUGAUAUUGUGACCUACUUGGUCGGUUCGACUACUUGGCGACUUACACGAUCGGUAUACCCUGAGGGGUAGGAUUGUUGGCUAGUGGCUAACGGUUAGUUCUGGAUUAUACCAAUGUAUGAUGUGACAUCCUUGUGACCUAUUGGUCAGUUCUUGUGUAUAUAUAUGUUAGUUAACAUUGAGUGGUCGAUACUUGCAUAUCUUCGAAAGGAUGUUGAGUUGUUCCAUCCUAGUUGAUCUGAGUGGUCGGUAUUUGUGUUUCUUACGGUUCGAUGACCUAUUGGUCAGUGUGCCUCCGAGGGGUGGUGAUUGUCAGCUAGUUGCCGACGGUUGGCUAUUGAGCAUAUCAGCAUCGAUCGCCACUGCUCGUACGCAUUUCACGAACACCAAUGGUUUGGCCACUGCAGGAAAGUGUUUUUUUCCGAAAAAGUGGUUAGGAGUGCCAGCCCAUGAGCCCAGGAGCUUUAUGCUAGGGUUAUAUGCUUUCAGGCCCAGGAGCUUUAUGCUAGGGUCAUUUGCCUUUCAGACCCAGGAGCUUAUGCUAGGGUCAUAUAUGAAAGAUAUGGAUCCCUAGGAUCUAAAAGGUAAAAGACACCUAGAGGGGGGUGAAUAGGUGUAAACGGCAACAAUCUCGGAAUUCGAUGCAAAUUUGAAAUAGAAUGCGGAAAAAUAAAAUCAGCACACCGAGAAUUAACGUGGGAAAACUCCAAACCGGAGAGAAAAACCCACGGGACCGAACACACAAAGAAAUCCACUAAGAAAACGUGAGUACAAGUGAUUUAUCAAAAAUACAAGACUCGAAAUACCGAAUUCUCGUUGUAGAAUAUCUUUGCCAGUCCUCGAUCGCUUGAAAUCCUCCAACCGAUCACACUGCAAAUCCUUGCAGCCACACACGCCUCGACUCCACGAAACGCCUACCGAAUCCACGGUCUUCACGCGAGAUCCACGCGUUAACGCUCCAUCCGAAGCUUGUAGAGAUUUAACAAUUUGUGGUGAUUUAAACACUUUGAAAGCACAUAUGAUAUGAGGAGAAAUCCAAAUCAAUACAUCACCAAUUUUGAUCCUUAAAGAAAGUUUGAGUCAAAAACUGAAGAAUCAAAACGAUGAUCUAAAACUUGAUAUUGAGAAACAUGGAUCAAAAACUCAAAUCAAGCCGUUAGGGUUUCUAAAAAAAAUUGUCUCGCUCAACACACAUCAUAUGAAGAUCCUCAUAUCAUAUUUAUAGGUUUAGAAGACUUCUAGACAGACUAGGAUUCUAAAAACUCAAUUUUAAAAACAGACGACGGUCUCAAGGUCCGGUCCUCUCGAGGAGACCGGUCCUUGGGAGACCGGUCCUCCAAGGUGAGGUCCGGUCUUACGCUGCGUAGAUGUCAAAAUAUGCGUACGGGGACCGGUCCUCAAUUCAGAGACCGGUCCUUCCCUGCGCAACAAGAAAAACCACGUACGGGGACCGGUCCUCAUGAUCAGAGACCGGUCUCCCAAACCUUCUACGCAGAGAAGCUUGAUGGGUCCGGUCCCUCUGAUCAAGGACCGGUCCCCGACCCCUGAGUUUUUCCAGAAAACUUAAUUUUUAAUAAACAAGAAUGAAACCAAGUCUUCUAAACAUCUUUUAACAAUGAAAACUUCACCACAAAUUAUUUAUAAUCAUACCUGAGUUCUCAAGGGUCUUUGAUCAUAAGAACUUCAAUUCUUUUCGUCAAUCUUCAUCUUCUAAUUCUUCGAGACUCCAUCCAAACCAUCACGAAAUUCGCCAACUUAUAAAAUCCUUAACAAUAUACAGGUUAAAGCAGUUAUGGCACAGACCUGAGAUCCACGGACCAAUAUGGCAGGUUUAUGAUUGGGUACUUUUGGAUUUAUUAUCCUGUUGAUGCAUACAUACAGUAGCGGUAGUGAUUCAUAUAUGUAUCUCAUUCUUUUUUUAUCGUUGCUACUGUAUUAUCAUAGCCAUACUUUUGUUUAUCCUCCUUGACUGGUGAGUACCCUCGCCCUCGUCGGAUUGUGGUACCAACUGGGAGGGGAGACAUGUGUACAUGUUCUCACCCCCCACCCCCUUUCAGGUGAUGUUAUAGGUCCGAGUCAGGACGGUUCGUGAGGUGCGCGCUUAGCGAUUGAUAGAGCUACUGACCCGUCAUUUGUGGUUUAAUUCUUAUCCCGACUGUCGUAAAAUAAUUGACUUAGUAUUUAUGGUUCAGUUGGUUUCAUGUAAAUUGGAUAUGUACGAUUUUGUAAAUGUAAUAAAGAAUUGAUUGUUUUUAUGAGAUGAAAAUGAUUUUAUACUCCUCAUGGUAGCAUGUUUUAAAAAAAAAUGGUUUUCGUGUGGAAAACGGUUUUGAAAAGGUUUUCCUGGUUUUUAUAAUUUUUAGUGUUUCAAAAUAAGUUUCCAAGUGGGAAACAUUUUAAACUAAUAAUAGAUGUGGAUUUAUGAAGAAAAUAUUUAAAUUUUCUGAUUGAAUGAAUGUGAAUUGAUUUAUGUGAUGUGGUGAAUGUAUAUGGCUAUUUAUAUAUUGUAGUUGUAUCAUGUACUUGUGCGACGCCGUGUAAAUACAGGGGAGACUCUGUCCGUGUGAACAGUGGGCUUUCUGUAUUUGUGCCGGAUCUGACAUCCCUUGGGGUCAAGGUUUUCAAAAAAAAAAAAUUGAGCACUUCCGCAUCGGUUUUAAAUCCAAAAAGGGACCCCGGUGCGUGACACAGCAAGUGAGGUUGUCUUACGCCCAAAGUGCUUCAGCACGCUUUGGAGCUUAACUGAAUCUUAAAACGAGAAUUUCGGGCAAUUUCGUCACACCGUGGUCUUACUCCUCGGCCAUGCCACUUGGAAAAAAAUGGGGGAGAAACCACAAUAAGGCUUUCCAGUUGGUACAAUAUUUUGCCUGCAUGCCUCAAGCACAAGAGGUUGUGCUGCUACUGAUACGGCCCACGUCGCUAUGUCGUGCCGUGUGGGUGGCAUAGCGAUAUGGACUGUGCCAAUGACGCGAUAAUUCUUGAGUAAAAUAAUAUAAAAUUUAUUAGAUUUGUAAUUGUAUAUUGUAAUAUUUGAUUCACGUGUAGAUAACUCGUUGGGCCAAAACCACCGGCGCAAAAUGCUUAAGCCCAGUUAUUAUUUCUAGCCUAAUCAAGCUUAUAUACCGUCACAUCUAGUCAUCACUAUCCGAUGUGGGAUUAUUGGGGUGUCACAUACUCUCUCCGUUUAGGCCUGUCCUAAACACACACAGCCAAAAAUCACCAGGCGAUGUAAGACUUGUUUCACUAGCCUUUGUCAUUCCGAACUAUCCGAUGUCGGAUUAUUGGAGUGUCACAUACUCCCCUCGUUUAGGCCUGCCCUAAACACAUACAGCCGAAGAUCAUCAGGCGAUGUGAGACUUGUUUUGCUAGCCUUUGUCAUUCCUAACUAUCCGAUGUCGGAUUAUUGGGGUGUCACAUACUCCCCCCGUUUAGGCCUGCCCUAAACACACACAGUCGAAGAUCACCAGGCGAUGUGAGACUUGUUUCGCUAGCCUUUGUCAUUCCUACCCUGACUUUGCCUGUCAAUCACCGACCCUGACUUAGUCUAUCAUUCCGACCCUGGCUCAGCCAAGACUUAUCUCACACUUCCGGCUGGUGAACUAGCUCUGAUACUAAAUAUAACAAUCUAGCAUACUAGCAACAAUAACUCGUUGGGCCAAAACCACCGGCCCAAAAUACUUAAUCUCAGUUAUUAUGUCUAGCCUAAUCAAGCUUAUAUACCCCCACAUCUAAUUAUCACUAUCUAAUGUGAAAUUAUUGGGGUGUCACAAUUAAUUAAUAUACAAGUUUGUCUUUUGAGUUUUUAAAUUUUAUGUGUUCUCCAUGUUUAUUGACUUAGGAUAAUGUGCUCAAUACAAAUGCUACUUUAUAAGAAUGAGGAAGUACAAAGACAUGUCUCUCAUGAAAAAUUAAUUUUAUUUUAGACUACAUCUUAUAAACAUGAAAAUAAAUAUUAUAAAUUGUGUGAUUGUACGAGUUCCGCCAUUAGAAGUAAAUGCAUGAUAAAUUAUAAUAAAUAAUAUGUGCGAGAGGUAAAAUGCAUGAUUGAGUUUAUUAACAUAUAUAUUGUGGGUGAAAAUGUUCCAGAGUAUUGUUAACAAUUCUAUGAUUUUGUUAGUAUUCAUAAAUGAUUUUCAUUUUUCUCAUAUAAGUAAUAUAUGGAAGAAAAUUUAAAUAUUUAAUAUUAUUUUUUUAUUUUUAAAUUUUUAAUAUGAUUGAGUUUUGGUGAAUAUAUAAUUUUAAAAGUAUUGUUAGCAAUUCUAUGACUUUGCUAGCAUUCAAAAAUUGUUUUCAUUUUCUCAUAUAUGUAAGAUAUUGGAGAAAACUAAAAUAUUUAAUAUUAAUAUUUUUAUUUUUAUAUGCUUUGGUUUUAAUCAAUAUUACACAAAUAAAAUUCAUCUAAUAUCUAUAUCUAUAUCUAUAUCUAUAUUUCUAUACUAUACUAUACUAUACUACUACUUAUAUAUAUAUAUAUUAUAUUAUAUAUAUAUAUAUUAUAUAUAUAUAUAUAUUAUAUAUAUAUUAUAUAUAUAUAUAUAUAUUAUCUAUUUCAUUUAACUACAUUAAAGGAGGGUUUGGGGACCUUAGAGUGACACGUGUCCCACCCAUCCUCUACACACAUACAUAUAUAUAUAUAUAUAUAUAUAAAAUAUAUAUAUUAUAUUAUAUAUAUAUUAUAUAUAUAAUAUAUAUACAAAAUUUAAAAUUGAUAUUUUAAUUUUAAAGUUUUAAAUUUUUAUUUAAUAUUUUAUAUUUAAAUUAUAAUAUUUAUUUCAAAUUUUAACUUUUCAAAAUUUAAAAUUUUAAAUCUCUAAAUUCUAAUAAUACGCGUAAUAAAUCGCGUAAUUAAAAUCUAACCUAAAAAUCAAUUUAAAUUACAUAAAUAUUCCUGUAAAAAAAUAUAGAAUUUAAAUUUUAGGACUAAAUUUUUAGGAAAUAUAGUGCAUAUGUGUAUAUAUAUAAUUAAUUAUUAAAUAUAUUUUUUUUUAUUUAUUGGUUUUCUUAAAUUAUUUUGAUAGAUUUAUCUCAAAUUCUUUUCAUAUAAAUUUUAUAAAAUAAAUUAUUGUAUAAAUUUACUUUGCGCAUAAUUAUUUUUAUAUAAUUUUUUAUUUAAUUAAUAAUUAGACUUAUAAAACUAUAUAAAAAUAUUAAAAAAUAUAUAAUUUAUUAUAAAAAUAAUUUUAUAUCCGCAGCAUCGCGCGGGUAAUUCACUAGUACUACAUUAAAGGAGAGUUAGGUCACCUGGUUAGGAGGUGACAUGUGUCCUCCUCAAGCUCUCCUCUCUCUUUUAAAAAUUUGCAUGCACCUGGUCUACACAAAUAUAACAUACACCAAAUCUAUUUUUUUAAUUUAAAAUUAAAAUAUAAUUUAAUGGAUAUAUUUAAACUAUAUAAUAAAUUUUUGUACAAAAUAUUAUAGGGUUUAAGUUCCAACAAUAUGGACUUAUCAAUAUAGUGUUUAACAUAUAAAUAUAUAUACACCCCCCGUGCAUGAAAUAAUUUCUUCCCAACCUACUUCUUAUUUAUUAAAAACUUUGCCUACGCCCGGUCUAUAAAUAUUACAUACACUAACCUUAAUUUUUAAUAAUUAAUAUUAUUAAAUUAAAAUAUAAUUUUAUAAAUGCGAUCUAUACUAUAUAAAAUGCCCCUAUAUAAAAAAUUAUCAGAGUUAGAUUUUUAUAUCAAAUAUUUAAAAAUAAAGUGUGUAAAAUUUACUUAUACACCUGGUGCACCAAAUAGUAUCAUUUAUUUUAAUGUAGAUAAAGAUAUAUAGAUAGCCCCUCAACUAUAAUUUUUUUGAAUUGAGUAUAUAAUACGAAAUUUUAAAUUUUUAUACUUUCAAAUUUUAAAGUUAUAAAUAUCAAAUUUUAUAUUUUAUAUUUUAAAUUCUGAAUUUCAAUUUUAACUCAUAAUAUUUAUUUCUAAAUUAUAAACUUCAAAUUUUAAAAUUUUAAAAUUUUAAAUCUCUAAACUCUAUAAAAUUAAUUAAUUAAUUUACUAUAUUUAAGGAGGGUUUUGGGGAACCAAAGAGUGACACGUGUCCCCCAAACCCUCCUUUACUAGCUCUUUUCUCUAUAUAUAUAAUAAAAAUAUAUAUAAUACGAAAUUUUAAAUUUUUUAUACUUUCAAAUUUUAAAGUUAUAAAUUUCAAGUUUUAUAUUUUAUAUUUUUAAUUCUAAAUUUUAAUUUUAACUCAUAAUAUUUAUUUUCAAAUUUUAAACUUCAAAUUUUAAAAUUUUAAAUCUCUAAACUCUAUGAAAUUAAUUACUUAAUUUUAUUCAUAAUUAAUUAAAUAUAUUAUAUUUAAUUAAUUUUAUUAAUAAUAUGUGUAAUAAAUUGCAUAAUAAAAUCAAACCUGAUAGAUGCAAUUUAAAUCACGUAAAAUAUCGUUAUAUAAAAAAAUACAAAAUUUAAAUUUCAGGACUAAAAUUUUAGAAAAUAGUGUAUAUGUGUAUAUAUAUAAUUAAGUUUAUUAAACAAGUUCUUCUACAAUUUUAUUUCUCUUCUAUUUAUUAAUUUUUUAAAAAUUAUUUUGAUAGAUUUAUCUCAAAUCCUUUUCAUAUAAAUUUUUAUAAAAUAAAUUGUUGUAUAAAUUUCUUUUGCGCAUAUACCAAUUUUAAUGACUUUUAUUUAAAUAGAUUUAACUAUUAAAUUAUUUUUAUCUAACUUUUAUUUAAUUAAUAAUUAGACUUAUAAAAUAAUAUAAAAAUAUUAAAAAAAUAAAAUUUAUUAUAAAAUAUUUUUAUAUCUGUAGCAUCGUACGAGUAUUUUACUAGUCAUACAUGAAUCGCAAACCCUCAAAGAGAACGGCAAGUUGUCCGCAACUGGCAGAUCGCUGAGGCUCUCAUUCAUCGCACAUUUAAUGCUGCAAUGUCUCCUGCUCUUUCCGUUCCUUUGCCAAAUAUAGUUUUUUGGCCUACUUCGAGGUUGUCAUUCAUACUGUUUCUAUCAUCGCUCUCUUUUACUGAUUCUUUGUCUCCACCAUUGGCGCUCAAUAUUUCCGCCGUUCUGGCUAUGAUCUUCUCACCUCAGUAAUAAUCUCGAGCAAUUAAUGAGUGUACUGCAGUACGGCACGAUCCCUCCACUGGUGGUUAGAUGAAUAGUGCAUCUGUCGUUAGCUUUAUUUCUUGAUUUUGUAGCAUGAUUCAAUGGUAGCAAAUGGUUAUCUAUUAAGCAGAGAAAAUGGUAUUAUAAGAAGCAAUUCGACACGUGUAAUUUUUUUUCCGUCGAUACAGCCUGCUAUUUGCACUUGAAUUCUCUUUGUAUUCAUUUGUUCAGUUAAUUCAAUAGGUUUUUUCAUUGCUUUUCGAAACGAAACUCUAUUUUUUUUACCGGACUCAAAAAAAAUUCAAAUAGAUAUUUUUUAAAUCAAACGAAUUUUAUUCCUUCAAAUUUAUUUUGACCGAAAGAUAAUUCUUUCUCUAAUAUUUGCAGUGAAUCCCCAGUUAAGUAAUCAUGCAUUACGAUAGGAACUCCCAAUUCUCUGGCAAAUACGGCCCUUUUGAUCAUUUCUUCACAUGUACCUGCAAUAGCAUUUAAUUAAUGUCCUUUGAUGAGUGACAUAAACUUCGAUCCUAUUUGUAUGGUAGUCAUCUCUGCUGGUUGAAAUGGGACCUACGAAAAUUGCCUCGCUUUCUACCGUCCCCCAUAUUGAGUUUUGGAUUUGAAUUUUGAUUACAAAUUUGAAUAACAAAUUCAAAUUUAAUAAAAUAUUAAUUUGAACAUAAUUGUAAUUUUGAUUCCUCUUUUGAAUCAAAUAAAUUGUUGCUUUUAUUAUUAUGUUUUCAAUUUCGGCCCAUUCCUAUUUGAUUUCAAUUCCUAUUCCGAUUUUGAUUCCUAUUUUGAACCAAAUAUAGACUCAACCUUACUUUGUAACCAUUUCAUUCAUGAAAUUUUAUUGCGAGGAUUGACAAAUUUUGGACUUUCUACUCUAUAUGCAACCAUUGGCAAUAUAACUUUUUUGAAAAUUGGAUUUGGUAUUAAUAUUUUAGACAAUUUAUUAUUUGCUUUUAGUUAUUAUUAUUAUUAUUAUUUUUUUUAUAUCACAUGUUUGAUUGAUGGGAUUAUCAGAGUCUUAUUAUAUUUUUGCUUAUUAUAUUUUUGCUUGUUAUAAAUUGCACUAUAAAUUGCACUAGAUAAUAGAAUUUUAGCAAAAUUUAAAUAUACAUAAGACUAAUGGCGAGCAAUCUUAUUUAGAGCUACUAGUAGUUCUUUUUAUCGUGCUUAUUGUUAGCUAAAAUAUAUUAUUUAUUUAUUUAAUAUGUUUAUAAACUAGAUCACCUUACAAUUUAUUUUUCACUUUUUUCUUACAUAAAUUAAUAGUAUUAACUGUGUUUGGUGGCCCAUCUCUUGCGACUUUUUUAUCUUUACAAUCGAUUAACUGUAAUAGUGCUAUGUGUAUUGGAAACUAACGUUGUUUUAUUGGUAUACUUUUUUUUUUCUUUAUUUUUUUUCACUAAUUAACUAUUACGAUCACAAUCACACUCCACUGCUACAUUGCGUGAGGUUAUUUCAAGAGUUUAAACAUCAAAGGAUAUGAAUAAAUUAGAGAUGGUAAAAUUGGAUCUAAGCACACAUACUUGGUCCAAAGAUUAUGUAAAUAAGUUUAAAUUCAAAGUUUAAGAUUCGAAAAGUUAAAUUCAAAUUUAAAUUAUCCUCGCGCGAUUUAAACACUUUACGCUCUUUUGUAAGAGCAAAGGAUGAAGAUGCCGAUGCAUCUAGUCCCAGAUCUUUUCUUUUUUGCAAUUAGAUCCCGAGCAAUUUAACAUUGCGUUAGUUGCCCCAUUGUUCAGCCUGGCCAGUUCUCACCUGCUUUUUCACUUUGGUCCCUAAUAAUUUUUUUUUUUUUGCAAAUGUAUUCUUAAUCUUUAAAUUAAUUGCGCUUUGAUUUGCACUUUGAUUCCUAAUCUCUAUCUUUGUUUCCAUAACUAGUUAAACUGUAUGUGCACUCAUCUCAUCAAGUAAAAAUCUCACCGUCCUCAAUAUUGUCUUUUAUGCCUACGGCCACCUUGACCUCACAUACGACAUUUAUUGUCUCUUUUAGAACAUUUAGCAUCUUUGGUAGUGUCGAACAGAAUACACCACCAAACUCUUUCAAAAACUUAAAAGCUUCAGUGUCGAGAUUAGCCAGUGGCUACCAGAUCAUAACCUUGAUUUAUACGAGUAGAUUGGGCUUCAUUAUAAUCACGUUGUUCUAUUCUGUCAAAAUCAAUAAGAAUUCAGAUGGACGUGACCUAAAUAACUAAAUAAAACAAAAUUUAGAUGCUGCGGGUCUAUUAUCAACAAAAAAAAAAAAAAAAAAGGGCUAGGGACAAACUAGAAGAAAAGAUUAAAGGUUAUUAAGUCCAUAGUUAGUUAAUUCGGAUUCGGCGAAAAUUUGGUACGGAUAUAAUACACAUAAAAUUCAUUUUCUAAUUUUUAAAUUCGUUGAAAAAUUCAGCUUAAAAAAUAGAUUCGGUAUAAUAUAUAAAAUAUAAGAUAUAAAAUAUAAGAUAAUCUACUUUUAGAAAUAAAAUUAUAAAUUUUUUAUUCAUAUUUUUAAUAAUUUGGGAAUAAUUCGUGAAUUAUUCACGAAUUAUUCGGCUGGCCCAAAAAUUCACGAAUAAUUCUCUUUCUUUAGGAAAAAUUCGUAAACGGACCAUUUAAUUCGGAUUUUCAAUAAUUCGCGAAUAAUUCGCGAAUUAACUAACUAGGGGCCAAACAAGCCCUGAAUAUAUAUGUGACGCCCCGACUUCCCAGGGGGUCACCCAUCCUAGGACUACUCCCGUCCUAGCACGCUUAACUCUCUUAACCUCUUGGGCCUUGCCACCACCCAAAAUGCUUAAGCCAGGUUAAGAGUUUUAGCCAUAUUAUAUCUUAUAUAUAGGACAAUUUGGGGUCUCACAAUAUAUUAGUCUAAAAUUUACAAAAAAUUAUAAUAUUUAAUUUUAAAUAAUAAAUAAAUAAUUAGAGGUAUUAAGUUAUAUUAUCUUUAGAUUAAUGAUUUUUAACAUAAAAUUAAUCAUGAUUAUAUUUUAGUUUUAGCAGUUUAAAAAGAACCAAAUAAAAAAUAUUUUACACAAACCAAAUAAACCGAACCGAACCAACCAAAUUAUUUCGGUUCAGAUUUGGUUCGUCAUGCUUCUAAUUUCGGUCAAGUGGGUUUUAAAAAAACUGCAAAAACUGAACUGAACUUAAUCAACAGAUGCUCACCCCUAAGCAGGAGUCACUUGAGAUAACUAUAAGAUUGUUCGAGACCUUUCCUCAAAGUGUCAAAUGUCAAUUAGAGCAGGAUUUGCAAAAGCUUCAGCAAAGGGAUANAUAAAAUAUAAGAUAUAAAAUAUAAGAUAAUCUACUUUUAGAAAUAAAAUUAUAAAUUUUUUAUUCAUAUUUUUAAUAAUUUGGGAAUAAUUCGUGAAUUAUUCACGAAUUAUUCGGCUGGCCCAAAAAUUCACGAAUAAUUCUCUUUCUUCGGAAAAAAAUUCGUAAAUAAACCGUUUAAUUCGGGUUUUUAAUAAUUCGCGAAUUAAUUAACAAAGAUUAAAUCACUACUAUUUAAAGUAACAUUAAUUCCAGUAAAAAUUACCAUGUUUGCAUUAAACAAUAUUUGCCAUAUAUAUAUAUAUAUAUAUAUAUAUAUAUAUAUAUAUAUAUAUAUAUAUAUAUAUAUAAUUUCGUUUUAUAAGGUUGUGAAUUUAAUCCCCUCUAUUAAUAUUUAACGAGCUAUACUCAUAAAAGUAUAGUAGCCGGACUCUAUAUAUGCUGGGGCUACUAUACUCUUAUGAGUAUAAACCCCCUUGUACUCAUAAAUUUUUAACCAUUGAUUGAUGGGAUGUGUGGUUAGGAUGAUGGUGGUCCCCACUUAAAAUAAUAGUGGUCCCUUAGGGUUGAGUGGGUAGUUGGUUAAAUAGUAUGAUCUAACGGAUGAAAAUGAUUAAUGAAAUAAAUCUAAGAGUCGAAAACUUAUGAGUAUAAGGAAGUCAAUACUCACAAAAGUAUAGUAGCCGGACUCUAUAUAUAUAUUAGCAUUAAUCUUACUGCAUGGCAAUUACCACAAGAGGUAGUGCUAUUUGUCAAGAUUUUAUUUGAAAUUAAAAAUAUUAGGGUUGUUAAAAAAAAAGUUAGGGUUUAAAAUAUAAAACUAGGUAAUUGUUGGGAACCAAUAGUAAAACUACCUAAGCGUAAAUGUUUCUAGACGUAGAAAUUAUUUGCAAACCAGUAUCCAAAUUCUUAAAAUAUUUACUAUUCAAUAUGUAAGGAUCUAAGAAGAUAGGGUCCCAUUAACCCUCUUUUGUUUAGCCUAUUUUUACUUUGAUCCCCUAUGAUCAAAAAAAGCUAUAACUAAUUAUCCCAUAAUUUUAUUUUUAUUUUACUAUAAGAUAUUAGUAAAUACGAUCCCAAAUUAAUUUUUUUUGUACAAACUACAGAAUAGCAAAUUGCAAAUUAUAAAAGGUUUAAUACUAUAUCACCAUGUGAUUUGCAAAAUUAUUAUUUUAGUAUCAAAGUAAAUGGUACAUUGUUAUUAUGAAACUAAAGUAGAAGACCUUUUCAUAAUAAAAAAAUUCAUUAAUUUUAUAAUAUUUUAAAAUAUAAAUUAUUAUUAUAAUAAAUUUUACAGAUUUAAUUCGAAUUUUCUAAAAAGGGCUACAGCACUCCUUUUCUUUUCUCUCUCGUUUCUCACUCAACCCUAUUGUAAGGAAAAAAUAAACGAGGGCUACUCAUCUAGUCCAACAACAAAUUUGUAAUCAUAAAAAACUAAAUGAAUUAAUUUGAUGUUCUUUGCAAACAAUAGACAACGAAAAGAAAAAUCAUUGAAUAUGAAUUAAUUGACCGCGCUUAUAUUACUUUUAUUAAAUCAAAUAGUAUAAAGAAGACAACUUAGCUAUUAAAUCGGAAUUGUAUAAACAGAAGACAAAAUAGUUAAUCAACUGCAUUGCGCCAACAACAUUUUUUUUUGUUUGUUCUUUUAUGUUUUUCUUUUUAUGCAAUGAAGAUUGAGAAUUAUUUGACAAUAUAUAGGUCUUAUUCAAUUUCUUUUUCUCCUUGUGUAUCAGCUCAUUGAGUGGAAAGAAAUUUUUUUAUCAAUCUUAUUAAAACACUUGAUUAUCUGUAGGGAUGGUUUUGAAUAUAAGAGUUACAAUUAUAGUUUAAAUUUAAAAAGGCCAUAACUAAAAUAUAUUUAAAUUUUAAAAUUUAAAAUUUACCAGUCAAAAUUUUUUUAUUAUAUAUUCUAUAUUAGAAUAUUGCCUACUUACUUAUUAAACAAUCAAUUAUGUUUCCAUGCCUUUAGCUUCUACUCUAUUCAUUGCAGAAUCGAACUGAAUUCACAAAUUAGAAAAACAAAAUUCAUGUUUUGCAAAUUAAGAAAUAGUGAAAUAGUUAAUGUUUUUCACUAAUAUGAUAUAUAAUAAAUUUUAUUCGUAAAAUAUUUAAUAAAAUAAAAUGAAAGAAUGAUACAAAUGAUUUUAGUUUUCUUCAAUAUCUUACUUAUUAUUAUCAUUUAUUGAUCAUUAUAUAAUUAAUUUUCAUAGUAAUAAACCUUACUUGUUGCACGAACAUUUCCACCUACAAUACACAUGUUAAUAUACUAAAUAAUCAUGGAAAAUUUAUUUAUCCCUAGAGCUCCAAUUGUGUGUUAUAAGUUCUUUAUCAUGUAUUUAAUAAGGGUUGAAGUUGUUGAAUAUCAUGCCAAUAUUUUUCUUCAUGCUUAUAAAAUGUAUUUUAAAAAAUUGAAUCUUUUCACAAGAGACAUUUUUUGGUUGUUCACUUACGCAUCAUUCAGAAACAUGUGGUAAUUGCAUAUGCAUGAACCAUCAGUUUUUAUUUUUAAUUUAUUUAUUUUUGGAUAAAUUUCAAAUUUCCCCUAUGCGAUAUAACUUGGUAUAAAAAGUUGCACUGUACCCUCCUGUGAUUUUAGUUCAACUUGCCCAAAUAUCAAGUAGGUCUCCAAGUACUAUUAACAAUUCCAUUACUUUUUAGCAUUCAUAAAUGGCUUUUAUUUUCCCAUGUAAAUAAGAUAUAAGAGAAAACUAGAAUAUUUAAUAUUAUUUUUUUAUUUUUUAAUAUGAUCGAGUUUUGAUAAAUAAAUUCAUUUUAAAAGCAUUGUUAGCAAUUCUACGACUUUGCUAGCAUUCAUAAGUGGUUUUAUUAUCUCAUAUAAUUAAGAUAUUGGAGAAAACUAAAAUAUUUAAUCUUAAUAUUUUUAUAUUUUAAUAUGACUGAGUUGUGAUCAAUAUUAUACAAAUAAAACUCAUUUUAUAUUAAAUUUGAAGUAACGUUGCUUCUUUUUCUACUUGUUACUAAAAAAUUGGCAAAUCAUGUCUUUUAUUAAUCGUUGGUUUGACUCAUAUUCUCUAUUACUUAUUAUUUUAACUCUUUUUUCAUAUCCGAUUCAAUCUGUGUUUUUAUAAUUUAAAAUUCAGAAAUUUUCAAUUAGAGUCUAUUUACCAUCUAUUUUAUCUCCUACUAAAAUCUUUAUUACUCGCCUUGUUCACCUCAUUGUAAAUUUUAUAUGCGAUAUUAUGCGAUAUCAUGAUAUGUUAAUAUACGAGAUAUAUUAUUUCCACAGCUAUUUGAAAUAAUAAAUAUUAAAGGAAAAUUUAAAAAAAUUUGGACAUAGCAAGAAAAAAGACUCUUUAUAAAAUAAAAACUAAAAACUAGUCCCUGGCGAGUUUGUGCUUUUUUGAUUUUCGCUGUUUUAGUUGAACCUGAAACGUUAUUAAUCUACGAACAGCAAGUAAUCUGUUAUAAAUCUACAGACUCCAUUGUACAGAAUUUAUAUUUGAAAGAACAAACAGAAAUACAGCAAAACCACACAAGGCCUAAAAUAAAAGCAUUCAUUUGCAAAUAGUUCAAAAUUCAAUUAAUUUGUAUUUUACAUAAAAUAUAUAUAAUUAUUAAUCAAUUGUUAUUAUAUCAUCAAUUGUUAUUAUAUAUGGUGCAGACUCUUUUUUCCUUAAAAUAUAUGAAUUAUCAAUAAAAAGUUUACUAACUUUCCUUCAUAAGAAAAAUAUAACAAUAGUUUAUCAAAAUUAAUAUUUUAUAUAUAAUUAAUAUAUAUAUUAUUAUAUUUAAUAAUAUUAUAUUUUAUUAGUGAUGUCCAUGCCGUGCCAGUGUCCUAAUUUUUUAAAAGCUGUCGAGUCGUCACAUCCGAGUCGUGUUGUAUCUCGUGUUCCGUAUAAGUGUCCGUGACGCUUAGUCUUUAACAACAAGUUAUUAGAAAACAAUUUUAGCUCACAAUAAAUACAUAAUCUUUUCCUUUCAAAAAAAAACAGAAAAAACAGUUGUUCGCUGCACUGCAGAAAAAAUGUACACUGUCACAAGACAAUUAUACACACCAAAAUUAACUAAACAUAGAACAAUCAAAACGACCAUCCACCACAGCCCUUUUAACCUGAAUGUGGGAUCAAUGCUAAAUUAGGGAAUCAUUCACUUUAAGACUUCUAUAGAUACAAAUUGCAAGCAUCCAAAUCAUAACUUCGCUGUGAAACACGAGGACCAAAAGGGUCGAAUUUUAAAUUACCUUCAAUCAAAUGUAAAUUGGAGAGGAUUCCGCCGAGUUCUCGGCGUGUUGUUUAUGCCUUCCAUCUUUGUUUGCAGAAAGCAGCGCAGGGUCGGGGCGGGGGAAGAGUAGCUUCAGGCGGAAAGCAUCGACACCAUUCAAGUAGUAUCUAUACAACCUCUUAGCUCGAAUGAACCCUAGGCGCCCAUAUAGUGCUAGGGCGCCCUUGUUUGUGACUUCUGCUUCCAGUGUUACCUGUAUAUAAGCAGUGAAGCAAUGCAAAAACAUGGACAUUAGAAAUAAUCACGAACCACAAGUUUCAAAUUUCUAUAGCUACCUUGAUGGUACAUAACUAGUGCUACCCUAAACAAGGUGUAAUUUCCACUGAAUUCUGAGCAAAGUUAAGAGCCUCUUUGGCCCUAACAGAGUAGAGUUGUUUGAAGAAAACACUAACACUCGCAACUUUUUCAUCGGAAUUCCUCGGACAAUUUUCUCCGCAGGGGAAGCACAAACUCUAUCUUGGGCUUCUAGUUUUGGGGACCAGAAGUUUACUUGAGCUUCCCAGCAUAGCAAAAGUUCCACUGUUUUUGUUUGUCAAGGGCUUAGCUGCUGAAUCUAAGAAUAAGAAGCUACUCGACAAGCCAGCCAAACAGGCGCUCACAAGCCACAGCUAAAAUGCCAUAGAUAUUUAGAGAUAUCUACUCCUACCAAUAUCAAUCACGCUGGUGAUAUUCUUUUCAUUUACGAAAAUAAAGAGAAAAAUCUAUGAAUAAUAGGAAGCAAACCAAAAGAGACUUUUACCAAAUAAUGUUAGAGAAACUUGCUAAUAUCUUUUGGUAAAAUGCAACUCAUAUGACUAUGGCAAUAAGCACUUCAUAUAAGGCCAAAAUAAAGUACGAGAGCAGUCAAGAGCAGUCAAAUAGCCACGCUGCUCUCAAACAGAGGUUAGGUACAGCGUCGCGUUUAGGCGAAGAAAAGAAGGCAAAAUGGAAAUAAUUAAUAUUUUAAUUGUGAAUUGCACGAACUAUAAUAGAUUACGAGAUCUCAAAGUGAAGCUCAGGCCUAUCACGUUCCUCUUCUUCCUUGUUCUCGAACUUCGUCUGUGUCCUUUACAAGUCUCUGUUCUUAUCCACAUAUGUUUGUUUCCAACUAAACUUAUCUUCCGAAGACAGCAGCAGGUUUCACAAGUCCCCUUCACAUAACAGGAUCCCCAAUCAUUGGCUUCCUCACUUUCCAACUCGAACACUUUCUCUACUUGAAGUUUCACAUUCUAGAGUUAUUCCACUAGCCAAGUAAUAAGUUAAGGGAAGUCAUAUUAUUCACCAUCACCAGCAAACUGACCAAAAGGAGUUGUUACAGAGUAAAUUUUGCUUCUUUGACCUUUUAAACAACAAGAAAAUCAUCGCACAUGUUAAGUAAUUACUUGAAUCAGUUUACUUGCAUAAGUUCAGUUAUUACCUCCUCACAACCAGAUUCCAUCAUCACUCUAAUAGAUCUGGUAACAAGUUCAGUAGCUGCAGCAUCAAGAAAUGAAGGAUAAGAUUCCAUGUUGUUCGGCCACAAAUUGAGAGAGAGAGAGAGUGAGAGAGAGAGAGAGAGAGAAUUUAAUCAAGAAAAUUGGUUAGAAUAUAAUAAUGAUACUAAGAACAAUGACUGUCUACUUAGACUCUAUUUUCUUCCUAUGUUAUAUCCAGUAAGCAUAAUUCGAAGAAUAUCGAGAAGGAGUUGGAUGAAGGUAGAAUCUCAAAGAGAAAAAAACAAAAAACAGAAAGCACGGAGAAGUGAUAAAUAGAUACUCUAAGCAUAUAGCACCUGGCACUAAAAAACCAUCUACCCUGUGCUCACUACGAACGAAUCUUACGCAAAAAUUUGAUGGCUCUGGUGCGAUUCAACACCUAAUGUUUUUAUUCAUACCUUAUAAACUCUUUCAUGUUAAAGUUGUUAUUCAUAUUAUGUCGCCAACACAUCUUUACGAAAAGAGCGAUUGAGCAAGGCUACCUAACAUUGAGAAGCACUUUGAAGAGAAUGACUAGAUGAAAAGGAGGGACGAAAUGAACAACACCAAAGUCUCUAAAAAUUUGCUCAAGUUUCACCAAACUUCGAUACAUUGCAUAAGAGGCUUGAACAUCUAAAAUGUUCCAAUCUUAGUCCCGUCGUUAGCUUCUGUAACCCAGAGAGACAGAAAUCAAAUGCAACAAGCCAAGUAACUAUUCCUAAGCUGGUUAAUUGUGCGCAUGCGCCAAAAAUCCCAAUAUAGAAACCCUAAAAUCCAAGGACUUUAGAAUUUGUAUAUUCGGAGUCGUUCUACAUUUUCCGUAACUAAAAGGGAUUAGGAAUACUGACCGGACAUGUCAAAACAAAUUUAGAUGACGAAAACCGACAAUGUGUGAACAAUGAUUGCAUUUGCAUUCGCCUUUUAAAAGUUAAAACCCCCUAAUACAACAAAUCAUUGCUUAGCAAAAGAUAUCACCUUUCCAACAAUUAUAAGCGAUUCAUCAUAAUAUUUGAAAAUUCUAACAAAUUUUAGAGGAAUUGUGCGGGAAAAUGAAGGGAUCUUUAAGGAGGUGAGAUUAGUGCAUACCGAUUCCUCGGCCUCGGUAGGAUUUGAUGACGACGAGCAUGGCGAUGUAGCCUCGGAAGGUGCCGCGAUGAUCCCCCAUCUUGCACACCACCGUGCCCACGCACUUCCCCUUGUGGAACGCCUACGAUUUCGCCACAUGCACAAAAGCCUAGGAAUCAAAAACCCUAACAGCAUUGGGAGAGAUCGGGGAGAGAUCGAGCUAGGGUUUCUAGGGAGAGAGAGAGAGAGAGAGAGGGAGGGAGGGGUCGUACGAGGAAGGUGAGGUGAGGCCACAGGUAGACGAAGUAGCGGUAGGUGAAGAUGGAGUAGGGCUCGCUGAGCUCGUCGUCGACGAGGGACAUGACGAGGGGGAGGUGGUGCUCCCCCCCGUAGCUCACGUACUCGAUCUCCGCCGCCGCCAUCGCCGCGCCGCCCCUCUCGCCGAACCACUCUCCAACAGGUGUGUUCGCGUUGCUUCUUCUUAGGGCAAAUUGCACUGCAAGUACCUCAACUUUCGCGGGAUUUCAGUUUAGUCCUUCGACUUUUUACUUCCUUCCUCCCCGAAAAAGUAUGGAAAAAAAAUUUUCCGAGAAAGAAAACUUUCAGGAAAAGUUCCUUUUCCAAUUUUUCGAUAAUUUGAUUUUAUGAAAAAACUAAAUUUUUUGAAUAUUUAUUCUCCAAUUCAUGAUAAAUUAAUAUUUUUUUUUAUGAAAAACAAAAAUGUUAGUUUUAUGAAAAAUGAAGUUUUCUGAAAAAAAAAAAAAAAAAAAAAACUAGUUUGUCUUAAAACUGAACAGACGAAAAAAAUGAAAAAGAAAUUUUUCAUGAAAAACUUUUCUCGAAUAUUUUCUUCUAUGUUUUUCCUACGUGCCAAACAGCCCCUUCUUAAGCCCCGUUCUCAGAAGAAUUUUACUCUAUUUUGUUCAAAAUUAAUAUAUGAGAACCCAGUUAGUCCUAUAUAUAAAAUAUAAUAGGAUUAAAAACUCUUAUUCCGCUAUAUAUAGCAUUUUAAGCGGUGGAUAAGUCUAAGAGCGUGUUUGGUUUAAAUUAUGUAAUAUUACAGAGUAUUUCGAUAUAUCCAGAUAUUUUGAAUUUUUAAAUGAGAUUACUACUGAUACUGCAUUAGCUCGUUUGGUUUAAUACAGCAAUUUAACGCUUGAUUGCAGUAUUUAUAGCAUUACUAUAGUUCUGUCUAUAAAAUUCGGUAAUCUAGACAAUAAAAUAUAGUCUAUUCCAAAAUUGUCCUCAGUCAUAUUUUGCAAAAUUUUUUUAUUGUUUAUAAAUAAUAUUUUUUUACUAAAUUUUAUUUUAAAUAAUUUAAUUUUUUUAAAAUUUUAAAUUUUAAAUUUUAAAUUUGAACAAAAAUUGUAGUGUUCCUGGUGUUCUGCAACCCGUGGGUCUCAGCAUUUAAAGCUUGUCGACACAUUUGAAGAGUGCCGGGACAAGUCAGAGUCGUUUUGGCGCAAAAUGGACGCAAAACGGACUCAGUGCGACGCGAGAGCAGAGUUUUGACAUUGGAAUCUGCAAAGUGCAGGUUUUCAGUGUUGAGUACCGAUACCAGGCAGAGGAGUACUGGUACCCCAGUGGAAUUACAGAAUUGAUACUCUCGGGUUGCGUCAAUCUGAUGCUGAGUACCCAUACGGCAUCAUGUUGGUACCGGUACCCUGUAUGUGAGCUUGCGGGCUGAGAGACAGAGUACCGGUAACCAAAUUAGAUACCAGUACUCCAGCUAGAUUUGUGAGUUGAUGAGGGGCCUUUUGGUCAUUUGAAGUGGCGUUAAUCUCAACCUUAUCCCACCUCUUUAUAUAUGUGUAGAUUGACAGAGAAUGAACAUUUGAUUGAUGCUUCCUCUCUCUCUCUCUAGUUUUUGAACGUGCUCAUGGUGGUGGUCGCGGCUCGAGUUCGAGUGAUUUUCGACGUCGAUUCGGAGGGUCGUUCGAGCGUGUGCGCGUCACGGUUGCGCCGUUGGAGAUCCGGCGAGCGCGUGGUUUUCUCUUCUUUUGACUUCUCGCCGUGGUUGGUCGAGCUUUACGAGGUGGAUUAAUAUUUACCGAAAUCGUCGGAACUCCUCAUAAGUUUUAGCAUCUUCGACAUGUAUCAUUGGUUUAUUUCCUUGUUAGUACUCGAAUUCAUGGAUUAGAGUAUAAAAUCUGAAUUUGAAGUUAAGCUAGAAUUAUAAUUUUACAUGUUGGACUUGGAAUUGACUUAGGAGAAAACUAUUGAACCCUACACUGUCAUUUCUGAAAAUUACCAAAUUUAGUUUUACGAGUUGUGGUUCGUUUGUAUCGCCGAUGUUCGUAUGCGGUGGAUAUCCAGAUUAGUGUAGGAUGAGUUUACGCUCGUGCUGGGAUGCCGAACUUAUUUUACAGUAGUGUGUAGACUGUUUUGGACUGUCGGGUGCCGUCACGGUUGACGGUGGACCCAGAUUUCUGUGUUUUGCCUCAAAUUGUGCCAAUGGCACGUGAGUUUUGGUUGUUAGACCAAUUAGACCCAUUUGUAUGGAUUACAGCCUGUGAGAGUCUGAUUGAGCUCGACAGAAGCCUGUGAGAGUCUGAUUGAGCUCGGCAGAGACACGCUUGCAUACUCGGUUGGGUCGCGCCCACGAGUGCCGCUCCGGAGUCUGGCUAUGUGCUUUUGCGUUGAUGUCGUAGUGUCCGGUUAGGAUUUUGCUCUCCACCGGCAGCCCUCGGGGUGGUGUAAGGUGUAGCUUCGACAACCGAGACGGGUGCGUUCACAGUCCCUAGUGAGUUUGGGUCAGAGAUUGCAUUUUUGUUAUAUCUACAGAUAGUCAAUGUUGGUUAGCAAUAAUAUAGUGGCAUAUAGCUGUAGGGUUUCCAGCUUUCCUUACUAUCUCUUAUGCACUUUUCUGUAGACUUAGUGGGUGAGCCGUUGAGGUCGGUGACGGCACCCACUGAGAACUACUUCUUUUUACAAUAGUUCUCACACCCAGUUGUUGACCUUUUUUACAGAGCCUUCGUACGCGGUUGCUGUUGUCACCGAUUCUAAUCAUAGAAAGGGAGUCGCGAGGUAGAUCCCUUCUAACCUCGCUGCAGUACUAGAAGAGCACCUUUCAGUGGUAGUUUUGGGCUUUUCUUGUACAUACUGUGUUGUUAUUGGGGUACUCGUUGGAGCGAGUUGUGUUGCAGACUUUUUGUAUGUACAGAAACCCCUCGAGGAUUUUAUAAAUAUAUAUGUUAUUUUCAGUUUAGCAGCUCUUUACCUUGUGGUUGUAGCUUGGUUUUGUUUACAGAUACAGCUAUUGCUUCGUAUACAAAGAAAAUUUCUAUAUAUACGGCGGGUCUGUUGGCGUGCCCGUAAAAACGUGUAAUUCGGGGCGUAACAAAAAUAUAAAUCUAAUAUUUUAAUUUAAAAUAUAAAUAUGAAAUUUGUAAAUUUAAAAUCUAAUAUUUAAAUAUAAAUAUAAAGAUAAAAUUAAAAAUUAAAAAUCUAAAUUUAAAAUUCUGAAUCUAAAAUACAAAUUUUAAUUUUAAAUUUUAAAAUUUAAAAUUUGAAAUCUGAAAUCUGAAAUUUAAAAUUUGAAAUUUGAAAUUUGAAAUCUGAAAUCUGAAAUCUGAAAUUUAAAAUCUAAAAUUUAAAUUUAAAUUUGAAGUUUAAAAAUUAAAAUUUAAAAUUUAAAAUUUAAAAAAUUAAAUUUAAAAAUUAAAAAUUAAAAAUUAAAAAGUUGACAAUUCAAAACUUUAAAUUAAUUUUUUUAAAAUAACGUAUUGAAAGGAUUUUGGGAGUUAGAAGGGUAAAAUUAUCAUUUAUAUAAUAUACAGUAUUACUGGCUUUCAAUAAUCUAAGAUACACAUGCCCCCUCUCGUUAAUAUUUUUGGUGUAAUUAUGCACCAUUUGUAAUGCUACAUUAUCGACCCGAUUAUAUACCGGAUAAACCAAACACAGUAAUCCUGACAGGAUUACCUGUAAUCCUGCCAGGAUAAUCAAAACCAAACGCACCGUAAGAGCUUAAGAGAGUUAAGCGUGUCCUUAGAAAGUUGGGGCGUCACAGUUAGUAUCAGAGCUAAUUACCAACCGAAAGUUCUGAGAAGUGUGAGAUGAGUCUUAACUGAGCCAAAUUAUACAGCGGGAAGAGUAAGAUUCUCACACUGUUGACUAUUGUAGGUAGAGCGCGGUUUCCCCACAAUAUCGAUUAAGGCUAUAAAUAGUCCUAUAUAUAAGACAUAAUAAAGUUAAAAACUAUUAACCUGACUAUAGCAUUUUAGAUGGUUGUUAAGUCCAAAAGAGAAUUAAGUAUGAUAGAACUGGAAUAAUCCUGAAAUGAAAAGAUGGGCCCAAUUUCCUAGGGGUCACCCAAUGAUUUAAGAACCUAAUGGUCACCCGGUCCAUAAAAUGAUUCGGUUUAACCCUUUAAAUUGGAUAAGUCAAAAUACUGUUUUGAAUCAUUUGAUCUUACAGUUCAACCUUCGAAUUAGUCUAUCGUUUUAAUUAAAAUGGUCGGAUUUUUUAAUCAAGUAACAUUAAAAAUCCAACGGCUUAAAAUCAACUUAGUUGGUUUUAUUUUUUUUAUUAGUAUAGAUCAAUCUUAUAAAUUAUAAGUAAAUUUUGAAACUUCAUCUCUAAUUAAUGUGAUCUAAAAUUUAAUAUUUUAUAAUUAACUAUGAUAUAAUAAUAAUAAUAUUAUUAUUAUUAUUAAUUAUGACGUUAUGCUGAUAGUACUAGAACUAAUGGUAGAACCACUGAUUGAAUCAAUGACCUUUAACCCAAUAACAUUUUCGGAUUACUAUUUGAUCCGACUUUUAGAACAUUAUCUAAAAUUUUUAGCACUUAGCCUGUUUGUUUGGGCGAAAAGUCAAAAGGGUGAAGUAGUUUUCGACCGUAAAUAGACUAGUCAAGAAAAUAAACAGCUAGAGAGAAAUAAUUUUCACAUAAACUCUAGUAAAAUCUAAAGUUCACUUUAAUCUAAAGUUCAAUUUCGACGAAAUAAAUAUGCCUUACUCACGGAAAAGUUUCCCUGUAAUAGUUAUAUCUAUAUUGUAGUAUCCUAGGUGGAAAUUGAGUUGGUAAAAGGGCAUUUUGGUCUUUUGCCAAUCCUUAUCAUUUCCACCGCCUUAUAUAGAGGUGACAUGCAUUGGAGGUGCUUUGAGUUGCUUAAUUAAUUUCCUCUCUCUCUCUCUCUCUAGAUUGAAGUGGAGAGCACGGUGAAGGCCUCGGGUGGAGUUCGGAUCGACGUCGAUUUCGUGAGGGAGAGCCGUUUGAGCCUACGUGCGUUGUGGUAGCGCCAUUGGAGGUCGGGCGAGCGCGAGAUUCUUUCUCCUACCGACUUCUCGUUGUCGUGGAUUAGCUUUUGAGGUGGGUUAAUGUUAUACUUACCGGAUUCUGCGGAUUUCCUCCUAAGUUUAGUUUGUUGUCGACAUGUAUUUUUCGCUUUAUAUAGCAUGUUUAGUAGCUCGAUUUGUUGAUUUACUUGAUUUUUAAAUCUGAAUUGGAGCUUAGAAUACUAGUUAAAUUAUACAUGUUGAUUUGAAAUUAACUUAGGAGAAAACUAGCGAUUCUACACCGUCAUAUUCUGAAACUAACAGAUUUAGCUCUAGAAGCCGUAGUUUGUUUGUAUCGCCGCAGUUUGUGGGCGGUGGAUAUCCAAAAUAGUGUAGAAUGCAUUUACGCUCGUGCUGGGAUGCCGAGUAUACUUUUACAGUAGUGUUUAGACUGUUCCGGACUGUUAGGUGUCGUGGUGGUUGAAGGUGGACCCAAUUUACUGUUUUUGCAUCAGAUUAUGCCGAAGGCAUAUAGAUUAUGGUUGUUAGACCAGUUAGACCAUGUUCGCUUGAUUAUAGCCUGUGAGAGCCUGAUUGAGCUCGGCAGAGAUACGCUUGCAUAUUCGGUUCGGUAGCGCCCACGAGUGCCACUCCGGAGUCGGGCUCAGUGCUUUUGCGUUGAUAUUGGUUGGUCCUAUUUGGACUUGCUCUCCACUGACGACCUAGCGUAGUGAUAGUUAGUAUAGCUUCGACAGGCGAGACGGGUGUGUUCACAGUCCCGAGUGAGAUUGGAUCAGGAUUUGUAUUUUCUACAGAUAGUUAGUGCUGGAUCAUGAUAGUAUAGUGACAUAUAGCUGUAAAUUGUUUCCAGUUUCUUACUAUCAUUGAGCAAACCCUCUGUAGACUUAGUGGGUGAGUUGUUGAGGUCGGUAGCGGUACCCACUGAGUACUACUUUUUUUUGCAGUAGUUCUCACACCCAAUUGGUGACUCUUUUUGCAGAGCCUUCUUCUUCGGCUGCUGUUACUACUGAUUUUGAUCGUAGAAAGGAGUUGCGAGUUAGAUCCUUUCCCGGCUGCUGCUGAUCUAGAGACAUCCCCAGCUACAGGUAGUGUUGUUUUUUGGUUAUUAUACAUACUGAUGUUGUUCCUUGCUGGAGCGAGUGAUUUUUGUAUAUGGAGACGAUGUAUGUAUAGUGAGCCAGUGUUACUUAUAUAUGUUUUUGUAUUUAGCAGCUCUAUACUACUGGUUGUAGUAUUGUAUGUUACAGAUAUAGAUACAGCUGUCGCUUCGUAUAUAGAAAAAAUUUCGUUGUAUACGGCGGAUUUGUCGACGUGCCCGAUGAAACGAGUAAUCCGAUGCGUGACAUAUAUCAAAAUAAUUAUUUCUAAUGAAAUAUCUCUGUAACAUACCGAAACUUCGGUAGAAAAUAUCGAACUUUAGCUAAAUUGACUAAAGUGCGUGAGAGAAAAAGUUGGACAAGGUCAAAUUAACAUUCCAACAAUGUUGGAAGGGUUAAAAAUGAGUUCUAAAAGAGUUAGAAGGGUUUUGGCAUCGAUCGGCCCGAAAUAGAGUCGAAACAGAGCCAAAAAUCAAGUCUGGGCAAAAUGUACCUGUACAACCAUCGAGUUGUAACCGGUAUAGCAAAGUGUACCGGUACAGCAUUGAAAGUGUACCGGUACAAAUGCUACAAAACCGAGAAACUGCUCUCGGGUUUGCUUUUGCGUAAUCGUGUUACCGAUGAUACGGGAAAGUGUACCGGUACACUUUGGGCUGACAGCACAGAUUUAGUCUGUUGCAAAAAUAGAAUGUUUGGGGGGCUUAGUUGCAAUUGUUUCACACCAUAUUAGACCCCAAACACCCUCCCUUUUCACAGUAGCCAUCCCCCUCCCUCUCUUGUGUCUCUCUCUCUCCCUCAACCGUGAGCAAGGGAAGGAAAGGAGAAAGAAGAAAAAAGAAGGAAAUGAAGAAGAAGAAGAAGAAAGAGAAGGGUUUGGAGGCUUUGAAGCUCUCCUACAAGGUGUAGCUUGGGAUUGCUCUUGGGCUAAGGUGAGUUUUUCUAAGAACACUUCUAGGGUUUGGAUUUCCACCAUAAUACUUAGAGUUUUGGAGCUUCUUACAUGUUAAGAAGCCUCUUGAGACCUUGAAACCAUGAAAUCCAUGGUUUUCUUCAAGGUGCUCUAAUGGUGAAGCUCUAGGGUUUGCUCUAAACACCCUAAGAAUAGUUCGAAUGGUUCUAAAUGAGUUCCUAGAUAUUGAACAAGCUCUCUUUGCUUGUUUUAGAUAUCAAAACCUAAGAUUUAGCAAAGGGCGCGGUUAGGGCACCAAAAUUGAGGCUUUUGUUCUAGAAUGUUUCUAAGGCAAAUUGGCCUUGUAGAAACUUAAUUAGGGGUAUAACGAACGCGUUUGUGCGCUCUGUUCGACAAUCCGACGAGUGUACGCGCAGUUAUCGACAAAAUAGCAUUUUGUCGUACAGAUAGCCGCAGCAUGCGGAAUAGACGUCUAAAAAUCACGAGAUCGGAUCCAGAACAUCGUGGUAUCGAGGAAUAAACUCCAGAAUAGACGGAUCGCGGAUUGGUGGCCGUUCGGGUGGUCACGCGAGAGUUCGAGCCGAACCGGGUCACAGGUGCCGCGGGAGGCCAAUUGCAAGUGACUAUAAGCAAUCGGAACACGUUUUGAUGUGGGUUGUGUUUACCGAAGCAACUAGGUCACCUGUAUGUCUAAGACUAGUGCUUACUAUUGAUGCAUGUAAUGGUAGCUAGUGGUAGAACACAUCAAUGCAUAAGGUGAAAUGCUAUAUUAAGCUACCAAAUAAUGCAUAUGGUCAUAAUGUGAUAAUGCUAAGUAAUGCAUAAUGACAUAGUGUAGAUAAUGCUAAGUGGAAAGCAUAAAGUAAAUGACAUAUGUUAAUCAUGUUGCAUGUAUAGAAAUGUUAAUGUAAGAAUGCUAAGUAAAUGCAUAUUGACAUGAAAUAAGAAUGCUAAAGAAAAUAUAUGAUAAGCAUGUUAUUGGGAUGCUAAUGCGGAAUGCAAAGUAAAGGACAUAUGUAUACAUAUAUAGAUCGAGUGGCACUGAACCUAGUGUCAAGGACAUAGGUUGAACAAGAGUAAUAUUGAACCUAGUGUUAAUAAACAUAGGUUGAACAAGUGUGGCAUGUAACCUAGCGUCAUGAACCUAGGAUGGAUAAGAGUGAACGUGAACCUAGUGUUAAUAAACAUAGGUCGAACCUAGAUGACAUUGAACCUAGUGUUAUUGAACCUUAGGAUGGAUAAGAGUGAACGUGAACCUAGUGUUAAUGAACAUAGGUUAAACAAGAAUGGCAUUAAACCUAAUAUUAGAGAACAUAGGUUGAGAAUGAACCUAGAGUCAAGUCAACCUAGGUUGUGAGUUAAAGAUAAUGAACCUAGAGUUAAAGUAAACCUAGGUUAUGUGAUAAAAGUGUUAGCCUAGUGUCAAGUGGACCUAGGGUGGAAAGAACAUUGGACCUAAAUAGGUCGACACUAUAGGGUUUAGACCAACCCUCGAGUUAUAUGAAAUGGAUUCCGGAAUCCCAGAGAUAUGGAGCACCUAAAGUGGUGUUGGGCGUGUGCGACGAUUUUGCCAUCCGGGGCCAACCAGUGAUGUGGCGAGUGCGACGAUUUCGCUGCCAGAUGGUUAUACCGAGUUGUGGAUUAUACCGCCGCUUGACUUGAGCCAUUAUCGUGGCGUAUGUGCGACGAUUUAGUCGCCGGGUGGCUCAGUCAUAGAGUGCAGCAGGUUGUGGUAGGCUGAGGUGCAUGUGAGAGUUCCUUCACCUCGAGUCGACAGAGCGCGGAUUAUCCGCAGUUGAUUGACUCAAGACCGAGUCGAGUGGCAGAGAUGACUAAGGUAAGAGUAACCCUAGAAAAGAAUGGCCGAUGAGUAAGUUGUAGCUAAAGAAUAAAGAAUAGCUAAGAAUAAAGAAAGAGUUGCAAGAAAGAAUGGCUAGUAAUAAAGAAUGAAAACGAUAGAAAAUAAAAUCAUUUAUUCUACUUGCAUAGUUGCAUGAUUUCAUAUUGCAUAUCGCGAGGCAUGAUAUGUAGUUCAAUAUCGAGUAAAUGUAUAAAUAUCUGUUUUAUGUUAUUGGACUAACCUGUUGUAGUGCCUCAUUAGAUCUAUUGGUUGAGCUUUUCCCUUGAGUGGCCGUACCCACUGGGAACCAUGGACUUAGUUCUCACCCUACGUUAUUUUGGGGUGUUUCAGCUUCGCACGUGAGCGGCGCGGCGGCGCGAGGCAAGGGCGUACCUCCGUAGAUAGCGCCCUACCCAAAGACCAGAGGUAGCAGUACCCCGAGGUGGUCUUGCUUAGGGGUUUAAAGGACAAAGAAUCAAGUUGUAAUAAAUUGUAUUGACUAGAUUAUAUUUUGAAAGUUGAAUGUAAAAGAAAUCUGUGAUGUAAAAUACAUGUAAGGUGAAUGCUUGCAACAGCAAGUUGUUUUAUGUUUUUGAUACUUCCUUAUGCAAUCUUUGGUUGAAUUCGGUUCCUGGUUGGAACAUCGUAAAUUGUAUCGAUUGCGACGCCUUGGACGUACAGGGGAGACUCUGUCCGCGGUACAGGAAAAUCCUGUCCGUUCAGCAGUCUGUUGGCGUGCCCGAAUCUGACCAAAUAGGCGGGGCACGGAGCGUGACAAUCUCAAUAUAGUAUAAAUGUAUAAAAAUAAAUACUUUUUAAAACAUCAAUUUAAUAUUUUUUUUUUAUUAGAUUGUCUAUCAUAUCACAUAAUGCAAUGAAAUUAGUUAUGUGAAUAUUACAGUAAAGACUUUAACUUAACUACAUCUGGCUGCACUGUACUUUAGUUCUGUGACAUGUCAAUUCAUUUUUAAGAAAAUUUUGCAAUCUAACUUAUCAAUUUUCUUUAAUAUCUAUUUGAGAUGAGGACUAAGUAUACGUUGGUAAUUAAUAUAAUUUUUAAUUUAUGAGACAAGUGAGACAGUAGCUAAAAUGCAAGCAGGCUUUUGUAAUUUAAUCUUUAUUUUUAUUUUCAAUUGUUUAAUAUUAUUUAACAUGGUAUCAGAGUAGAAGAUCCUGAGUUUGAGUCAUAUCAGACUCCAAACAUUAUUAAUUUCUCCUAUUUAAUUCAAGUCCACGCCAUGGGCUUAUUAAAAAAGUUUUGAAUCCAGGCGUGAGGGGUAGUGUUAAAUAUAGAAAUAUUUAAAAACACCGGUCUCUAUUAGCUUAAGCUUUUAGAAAAUAACGGUUGUUUAGUAUUAUUUAACAUCAAUAGUUAACAAUUUUUCUUAUUAUACAAUUAAACUAUUAUUUUCUCAUCAAUCUUUUGUCAAUAAAUCUGUUGUUUUAAACAAAAGCCUAUAACCCAUUAAAAGAUACCAUCUUAAUGAGCUAGGCUGGUAUACUAUCGGGCCUCUGUGCUAUCAAGUUGUUUUCAAUGAUGCGGCAUCCAAAUCGACAAUCGGCUCCGUUAGACUUGAUUUACAUUAUUAAACUAUUUAUAAACUAAAUUUUAUAAUUUUUCGGCAUCAUUUACCUAUCAAAUGAGUAGAUUAAAAUAAACGACUGGAAAUAAAAAUCGCAUAAAAAAUAAUGAUAAAAGACUUGAAUUUAAGAUCAAAGGUACUGAUCUUACUCUAAAGAGUAAAAAAAAAUUUUUAUAAAAAUUUCAUCAAAGUUAGAUUGUUUUACACCAUUAAAUUCACAAGCGCAUCACAUCUACCAUUAAAAUUAUCAAUUUUGAGACUUUUUGAUCACUAGCCAAAUGAUGUUGAAAAAUUAUAAAAUUUAAUUUCCAAAUACUUUUAAUAGUGUAGAUCAAGUCUAACGGAGCUGAUCGUCGAUUUGGAAUCCACAUCAUUGAAAACAACUUGGUAGUACAGAAACCUCCGUGCUACCGAUAGUAUACCAGCCUAGCUCCCAUCUUAAUAGUGUAGAGAAAAUAAAAAUAAAAUAAAAUGACCUCUAAGAUAGAUUCUUUGCGAAAGCUUUUCUUCAAGCUAUUUUCUACUAUGUUUCUUUUGCUAUUUCUAACUGCCUAAUAUUACACCCUCCUCGUCCAAAGGUUAUUAAUUUUUAAUUAAUUUCAUCAAAAAAAUUUUGAUUCAAACAAUUUUUUAAAGAAAAUGUAGUUGAGGGAGUUGUUUAAAAAUGUCUUGUACUAGAGGGUGUCUUCACACUUUUUUUUUUCUUACAAUGAGGUCUCAAUAUCUUCAGUAUUUGUUUCAAUUAAAUCCCAACAUUAAACACAUCAUUUUUUCCAAUAAUAUUCACCAUAUUAGCGGUAAACAAUAUUUGUCCCAUCAGCAUCAUAGUUAGUAAAUUCGCGAAUUAUUCCCGAAUUAUUCACGAAUUUUUGAAAAAACGAAUUAAACGACCGUAUUCGUAUUUUUCCGAAAAAUUCAGAAAAAAAACGUGAUUUUUUUAGGAAAAAUAAUUAUUCGCGAAUUAUUCUCGAUUCACGAAUAAUUCGGCCAAAAAACGGCCCUCGGGCCCGGGCCAGGUCCAUGGCCCGUGCCCCGCGCCGCGCGCGCCCACUCUCGCGAGGGCGGGCCAGCGCCCACGCUCGCAGGUCCCGGGCCUCGCACUCGCUCGCGGGCCUUACCGCUCGCCCAAAACAGAAAAAUAAAAAAAAAAAUCCUUUCCAAUAAAAUCUUCCCCCUCGCCGCCCCCCCCCAAAAAAAAAAAAAAAACCUUUUCGAAUGUUCGCCUCACUCUCUACCUAAAAAAUUACUCUGAUAAAAAAAGUUUAAUCUCUUAUGGACUAUCUUAAUCUCUUAUUUGCUUAAUUAUUUAUUUAUUUUGAGGCAUAAUAUAGUUUGCUAUAUUUUUUACUUAAUUAGCUUAAUUUUUUAGGUCUUUAUUCUUAUAUUCUUAAGAAAUAUAAGUAUUUAUGCUAAUAGCAUAAAUCUUGAGAAAAAAAAAUUAAUUUAAUAGCUGAAUUUUUUAUCCCGAAUUUUUAAUUAGUGAGCGUAUAAUAUCCGGAUAAAUCACAUAUCCGAAUAAUUGGCGAAUCCGUUUUUUAGCUGUAUUUUUCGACGAAUUUAAAAAUAAAAAAAUAAAUUUUAUCCGAAUUAUAUUCAUACAGAAUUUUUGCUGAAUCCGAAUUAACUAACUAUGAUCAGCAUCAAACCUUACUACUUGGCAAUUUCCAUUAGCAUCAACAAUUUUAAAUAACAAGAAUGUAGUUAAAAUAAAUACUAAAGAUCUCAGAUUGGUUGCCGAAAAUGAAAAGUUGGGGAAGAAAAUUAAAAAUUGUUUCUAAGUUGGGUAGAAUAAUGCAAAUAACCUUAUUUUCAAUUAUGAGGUGAAUUAUUGCCCGCACUUAGUCUGUCUGUAUCAUAGUUAGUUAAUUCGGAUUCGGCAAAAAUUCGGUACGGAUAUAAUACACAUAAAAUUCGUUUGGCUAAAUUACAUAAAAGCCCUAUGUCAAAACUCAAUUUUUCACUUUCCUCCCUGUCAUUUAAAGACCUACACUUUGCCCCCUUAUAAAAUAAAAAAUGUUCAGUUCGUCCCCUGCCGUUAGUAAUCCAUUAGGGUUCCGUUUAUAAAAUAUUAUUAUAUAUUUUUUAUGUCAAAAAUGCUCUCAGUCUUUUCUCCUGUAAAUGUGGUGAGGGGCAAAAUAGUGAGGGGCAAAAUAAUUAUUUUAUCAUCACAGUUCACAUCGUACCUCCUUGUGAACAUUUUUUUAUUUUACAAGGGGGCAAAGUAUAGGUUCUUAAAUGACAGGGGAGGAAAGUGAAAAAUUGUAUUUUCACAUGGGGUUUUUUUGUAAUUUAGCCAAUUCGUUUUCUAAAUUUUAAAUUCGUUAAAAAAUUCAGCUUAAAAAACGAAUUCGAUAUAAAAUAUAAAAUAUAAGAUAUAAAAUAUAAAAUAAUCUUUAUUUAAAUAUAAAAAUUAUAAGUUUUUUAUUCUGAUUUUUAAUAAUUUGCGAAUUAUUCACGAAUAAUUCAUGAAUUAACUAACAAAGGUCUGUAUAGCUAUCUAUUAACCUAUAUGAUUUUUCAAUGAUUUUGCCACGUGGCAAGUUUUUUUUUAUCCUCACUAGCCCUUUUUUUGAACUGGUCUUCACUCUUGACUUUUCCCCUCCCCUCCUCUCUAUUCAACCUGUACUCAAUGUAUUUUUUAAUUUAUAUGUUUCUGAGUUUUCUUCUCUUCAAUAUUAGUCAUUUCUUCUCCCUCAAAUAAUUCUUAACAUGCAAAAUUAAAAGAGGAGAGGUUAGUUUUGACUCAAAAGGGUGCAAAAUCAUGCAAACUUCUAUUAAAUUUUUAAUUUUUGAUAUCAAAUCUAUCCAUCUAUUUUAUAUUAAAAUUUAAAUUUGAUAUUGUAAAUAUUUUCUAAUAAAAUAUACCAUAUAAAUUUAGAAAAUAUUUUAUUUUAAAUUUUUGAAUAAAUAUGAUUUGUAAUUUUUUAUUGAUUUAAAAUAUAUUAAAAUAAUNCGCGAGGCGUCGGCGUAUGAGAUCUAGAAGCAUCGAGACCAGGACGAUUCAAGCAGGCUAGUAAAAUAAGCAAUCAGUUCCGAUUUCGGUUCCUGAAUACGUUGGCUAUCCGGUUUGUAAGUUUUUGCUGCUCUCUAAUUUCCAACAAUUGGUAUCAGAGCGGUAUUCUUGUUUUCGCCUUUGAUCAUGCCUGUGAUGCGUGUUUUUGGGUCGCAUGCUUCGUUGACCAAUUUUUAUGUAGAUUAGUUCUACAAUUUUUUUCAUUUUCUAUGUGAAAUCGAUUGAAAAAAACCAAAUUAGUUUUAGUUUUCCUUUCAAGUUGAUCACGUAACAUGCAAAUUUUUUUUUUUUUUUUGAGAGAUAGGUAGCACCCUACCCGCUUCGUUUAUUUUAUUUAAAAAUAAACUUAGCUGAAAAUGUGAAUCAAUUAGAAUUCGAACUUGGGUCUUGGGUAUCAACCACCAAGCCCUUUGUCACUUGCUCUAGAGACGGUCAGUUAACAUGCAAAAUUAAAAGAGGAGAAAAUGAAUAGUUACUACUUUCAGAUCUAGAUAUUGGGGAAGAGCAAAGGAGCCCUCCAAGCCCUGAUCCGUGCCAACACGACUUGACCCGACGCCCCCUUCCCCCCAAUCAAGAGAGUGCUUCUAGGGUUUCUAUUUAUAUCUAUCUCUUCGGAUUUAUGGAAAAUAAAGGUAAUCGAACAGUUUUUUCAAUAGACGAAGCUAAUUGGACAGCGAUAAUGUACGGAUCGAGGGGUAGGUUUGGGAAACGAAAAUCCUAAACCUAAUUUUUCUUUUCUUUAUUUUAAUCUCGAAUUCUUACUAUAUAUCCAUUAAGAAUUUAUUUUUUUUUGCAUUAUUUUUUAUAUGGUUGUUGUAUCAAUCAAUGAUUUAAUUUAUAUACAUUAUUUUGAUUAAUUUAGUGGUUAGUUUUGAUUUCAUAAUUGAUGUGGCAGUUCUGAUCCACAACUUUUAACCAUUCCAUGCCCAAAAAUGUGUAAAAUCCUACCAACUUUCAUGAGGUUUUCAUCGCCAUCGUCGUAAUCAUCACAACAUUAUUAUCUCCAUCUUCAUACGACACUUGCAGGUUUUUCUUUUGAAUGGUGAUUUUAUACAAUUAUCUCAAUAGUCAUAUUGGUUAGUUCAAUUCAUAUAUUUUCCUACAAAAAAAAAACACACACACACUUGAAUUUUUAUUUUUCAAACUUCUUUCUUCUUCCUCUUCAAUAUUUUAUUUUUUCUUUCAUUAUUUAUCCGUCACAUCCUGCGAGUUAGUACACUUGUAUACCAUGAUUUUAUCAACUCUUUUACUCUGUUGUAUGUCAACACUAUUAUCUACUGGAUAAGUUAUAGUUUUACCGUACGGAUCCAAAAGGGUGGAUUUUUUUUUGCUACAGUAAAUAAAAUUUUAUUUAUGUACUGUUUGAGUUUUGCUAUUGUAAAACCCUUUAAAAAAAAAAAAAAAAGUUUUACUGUUUUGUUAUAAAUUUUUUUUAAAAAAAAAAAACCCACUUGUACGGAUUAAAAAUGUUUGCUACAGUAAUUGUUUUUUAAGUGUGCGGUUUUUUAAGGUUUAAGUUUAAUUUAUUUAUAUAAAUAUACUAUUUUUUGAGAAAAAAAAUAUAUAUACAGAGAUGAGCAUAGUAUAUUUUACUUUUUGAUAACAAAAAAAAAAAGAAAAAACUGAUUGGAAUUAUUUUGGUUUCUGAAUACGAGAACUGGAUCGGGAUUAUGUUUAAAAAAAGUAAUUGCCCACCAGUUAGACUAUAUUUAACAAUUUACAACAGUUUGCGACAGGGAAAAACCUCUCUUUCCGCUCCUCCACAACCUCUCUCCACCUCUCCUCCAAUGACUAUAUACUCAUAUAUAUAUAUAUAUAAUAUAUAGAUAGUUAUAUACUAUAUAUAUAUACUAUUUUGACAAAAAAAAAGGAAAAGGUUUUUGUUACAGUUUUUGUAUACCCUUUUGAGUUUUGCUACCUAGUAAAAAAAAAUUUUGAACUAUAUGUUUUGAUGCCGUGACAGUAUAUUUUGUCAUUGAAAUUAAAAUUGGGAUAGCAUAAAAGAUUGUAAAUUGCAUAUGUUUAUAAUUUACAAUUGCCAAAUCAUUCUGUAUUUAUAAUUUUUGAUUACCCACUAGUACUGCCUUUAAAAAAAAAAAGAAAAAAAAAAGAAGGGGAUUUUGCUACAGUAAAAUUACUUUAUUGUUGUACGGUUUCAGAGUUUUUGUUACAGCAAAUAAAACCCUUUGAAAAAAAAAAAAAAUACUUUAAGUAGGACUCGAAACCGACAACCAGCGUUCACUUGUUUUAUAAAUAAAUGCUCUAACCAUCAAACCUGUUCAUUAGUGUUGUCUCUUAUACUUUAUCAGCUCUAUUUAUAAUUUGUUUGCUGCAUUAAGAGUGUUUGAUUAUAUAUAUCUGUUCAAGAUUACUUAAAUGAAAUCAAACAUUUAAAUUGUUUGGUACAUUUAUUUGCUGUUGAAUCAAACUUUAUUCAACAUGAUUAAAUCUCGUGAUUUUAAAUUUUAGUGUAACUCAGAAAGUGUGGGGGAAGCGCCUUUAUCAGUUUGAUAAAUUUUGAUAUUAUAUUUGCUCUCGUAAUUUCAUUUUGUUUAUCCUAAUAUUUAGCUUGUAAAUGAUAUUAGUAAAUUCUAAAGUUAACUGGCAUAUUAAAUUGAAAUAGAAGUAUGUUAGAUGACUAACCUUUCAUGAUAUUAUUAUUUUAGUUUUGUCAGAUUUGAUCAGAAAUCUUGCAGAUUGCUUGACGAAAGGCCUGAAUAGGACUAAGGUCCUGGAGUCAUCGAGGGGGAUGGGACUUUGCCCGUAAAGGGCCUUCCUGCAGUGGGAACCCAACCUUUGUGAUAGGAGAUCCCUUGAAGAAGGUUCAAUGUGGUAAAAACAAGCUGCUAGGUUGGCCAAAGAGCACUUUCUACAGUUUUUAUAUAGGAGCUUUAGCUCCAAUCCCAUCCCUAUGGUGAGUAGUGCUCUGUGUAGUGGAUUAGGUUGAGCUGAGAGCUCUUAAUGGGAUCCAAGGCGAUAAUUUUCGCGAGAUGUGACUCUACACACAUCCCUGGAGGAAACCACCUAUAUAAGAGUAUCCGUAUGUGGCCGCGGCUAUGUGAUAUGGGCUAUCCAUAGAAACUCUUAUGAAAAAUCAAGGUACUGUGCAUGGCCAUUAACGCACAGACCCGCGACGGAGAAUUCUGUACUGUGUGUGUGGUAGUUGAAGUCAGGGCCAAAGGAACGUAGUUCAAGACCUGGUUCACUCCGAUUCCUUCUGAUGGAAACUAUUUACACUAAGUGAGGUUAAGUCUCUUAAAGACACCUCACCUAUUGCAUAGUAUAAAACACCCAGUAAAUUUGAAUUUAAUUCGUAAUUUUAAAAUUUUGAGUUUUGUGGGGGAUUGUUGGUGAAAACUCAAAAUUUUGAGUUUGAAUUUAUUUUAUUUGCACUUUGAUGUUUUAUUAUUUAUUAUUUUAUUUAUUUAUUACUUUAAUUAUUUUAUUUUAUUUAAUUAUUUUAUUAUCUUUCUUAAUGAGAAAGAAACUAACGGAAUUUUUUCCGUUCCGUUUCUUUCGCGUUACGUUGGGCGGGUUCCGCUUCUUUCUCGUAAGAGAAAAAACGUAAAAUCCUCUUUCCUUUUUAGGUCUUUUUCCUUUUCUUCUGGCUCAAGAUAGAGCAGGCAGAAAAGAUUUUUAUCAUUGGUUAAUCUCUAUCCAUUUAUUCUUUUAUCUUUCAUUUUUGAACAUUCCCCUUAUCCACUGGGUGUUGAGAAUCUUCGUCAACCUCCUUCACGAUCGUGCUCGCAGGAGGAGGAAUUCCGGUCGUACCUUGGGGUGUUAUUUCCGGUUAAUCCCGCACGUAAGGACGGGAAUACGCCUUAGGGCAGUGCCUCGCACGCUUCCGGAUAAGAUCAAAUCUUUAUUGGAAUAUUUGCGUCAUCUGUAAGUUUGAUUUAUUUAUUGUUAUCACAAAAUUAGUUAGAUUUUAAUCACAAUCAGAUUCCUAUGCGAUAUUUGUUCCAACAAAAAGUAGGUCAUUUAAUUGAAAAUAUAAGAUGGACAAAAUUUUGAUGUACAUAACAUCCCAAGAUUUGGAUUAGUAAUAUAUAUAAGAUAUAAUAGAACUAAAUCUCUUAACCUAAUUAUAAUAUAUUAUUUGAUAGUUAGGUCCGAAAAGUUAAGAGGGUUAAACAUACGAGAAGUAGAAUAGUUUUUAAGGAUGGGUGACCCAUAAAAAGUGGGACGUCAUAAUUAGUAUUAGAGCAAAUCACUAGACUAGUAGGAAGUGUGAGAUGAGUCUCAGCUAAGAUAGAGUUAAACAACGGAUAAAGUGUGGUUCCUUGACUGGUUGCAAUUGUGGGUGAAGUGCGGCUCCCCACAAGGUGGGCUAAUGCUAGCGAGACAAGUCGCACACAACCUGGUGCUUAUGAAUGCCCUUAACCUGGCGAGGACAUCGAGGCUUAAAGAGGAAGCAAUGUGACACCUCAAGAUUUGAAUUAGUUCUAUAUAUAAGAUAUAAUAGGUCUAAAACUAUUAAUCGGCCUAUAGCAUUUUGGGUGGUGGUCAGAGCCAAAGAGUUUAAAAAGAUUAGGCGUGCUAAGAGUACAACAGUUCUAUAAUGGAUGACCCCUCUAAAAAUUGGGGCGUCGUAAUGCAUUUACGAUGUACGAAUAUAUGGAUAUGCCAGGUGAAAGAAAUAAGUUUUAUUUUAAAUGCAAUUUUAUUGAAUGUUAAAAAGAGACCUUAGUGAAAGUUUAAAUGUUAAGUUCAGGAACUAAUAGUGAAAUUUAUAGAUUGAUGAAAGCUUUGUUGGGGCCCAAGAACAGUAUCAAUAACAUUAGGCCUUCACUAAUUGUUGGCCCAUGAAGCUACUUUCGUGUAUCAUGAUCAUGGCCUGCUCCAAAGUCACAAACUACAUUACUCUCAUUUAGGGCCAGGCAUGGCAUGGAAGCUAAAAAAUGUUAAAAAUCGGGACAAACAGCAAGCCGAAAAUAUUACUAGAUCAAAGAUUACUGGUUCAAUCGAUGGUUCAACCAGUGACGUCAUCAUGAUGUCAUAAAUAUUUAGGAAUAAUUGCCUAUAUAGCCCUCGUACGUUUCGAAAUAUCCGAUUUAUCCAUACUUUUUUUUUCUUUCUAAAAUAUCCCUCAUAUAUUCCACCGUUAUUGUAAAAUACCCCCGCAGUUAUCUCCUGUUAAGUUAACCUGGGUUAAACAUGAGUUAAAUAUCUAGCACAGUUAAAAAAAAUUAAAAUACCAAUUUUGACCUUAACUUAAGGGCAAAUAAGAAAGAUUGGUGACGGUAGAAGGAUAUAUUGGAAAAUACCAAAAGUCAAAAUACUUUUUAUACCCCUAACUUUAAGGGCAAAUAAGAAAGAAAAUGAUGGUGGAAGGGUAUAUUUGAAAGAGCAAAAUAGUAAUUUUACAGAGAUAACAGAGUUACUUAACAGAUUUUAACUCUACAGAGGUAUAUUAGAAAUAGGUUAGAACGUAGAGGGAUAUUUUCAAUAUUAGCCUUCUAAGAGGGGUAAAUCGGAAAGUCGAGAACUUUUCACGAGUAUAUAAGCAAUUGCCCCAAAUAUUUAAUUAUUAUUAUUAUUAUUUUUUAGUAUAUUGAAAAAUAUGUAUAUAUUAUUAUACUAGUAUCAUACUUAAUUAUAAAAUACCAGAUUAAAUAGAUAUAAGUUUUCAAGUUUUACUUUUUGCAAAGUUAAUCUGUGCAAAUAGAAGAUGAAUCAAUCAGACUGCGAAUUUGAGAUCUCAAAUACCAACCAUUUAGUCCUUAGCCAACUACACUAGAUACAAUUAGUACCUAUUUAAUUACUCAAAAAAGUGUGAAAAAUAAUUUUAUAAAAAAAAAUAGUUUUUAUUCCAAUUUCCAUCUGUACGUUCUAAAGAAAAACAAGCUUUUAUGAAAAAAAAAAAAUCAUAUUUCAUGAAAAGUUAGUACUUUCGUUUCUCUAAAAAAUUUGAAAAACGAAAAUGCUAGUUUUUCAUGAAAUAUGAAAGAAAAGACUUUCAAAAACACUUACUUUUCUUCAAAUCAAACGAACAUAAAAUUAAAAAAGAAAUUUUUAAUUAAAAAAAAUAUUUUUUGAAGGUUUUUUUUUUUUUUUUUCACACUUUCCCACACUUUUCCGAGGAGAAGAUAGUUGGCUAGUAAUUUCCCUAUUUUUGAAAACCAUCAUUUGUGAGAAAUUUAAUGGAGUAAUAAUGGGGUAGCUUGUUUGUAGGUCUUAGCAAAGUUCAAAGUGUUCACACAUGAAUUGAUUUAGGGUAAAGGAAUCCUUUCCUAAAAAGGAAACAAAAGUAGGUUUGGAAAGUUCCUUGAUUUUGGCCUAACACACUUUGCUUUCCUAAUUUUAGCCCCAACUUAGACCAUGUAGUUACUUUGGACCCAUUAAAAAAAAAAAAAAAAAANCCUACCCUCUACACCACUUUUCUUCAAAGGGAGGGUGGUUUGAAUCUUUGGUGGCAUCAUUUUUAUUUUUAUUUUCUUCAAUAUUAAUUUUAAAUAAUUUAAAACAUUGUCGAAGAAAUUUUCAAUCUCAGUAAUAAUUUAUAAUUAUUUAUUACUUAAUUAAUAGAGGAAUAAGAAGAAGAAGAAGAAGAGUAGUUUAAAGUAAUUUGUAAAUUUCGUAACUACAAUAUAUUCUUGUGAAUAAUUGAUUACACUGCCUUAAUAAAAAAAUUUAAGUUUACUAUUUGGAUAUAGAGAAUAGGAGAAAAAAUAAAACACAAUAGAAGAAUAAAACCAAAUUAAAGAAAAUAAAAUAAGUUCCUCCACUUUCAUUUAGAUUAAGGAAAAAAAAUUAAAAAAAUAAGUAUGAAUCUCUUUCUCUCCGUUUUUGCAGACGAAAUAAAUGAUUAUUAUAAAAGAUUAUUUUCUCUACGUUUCUCUUUUUCGCUUUCCUCAAAUUUAGACCAAAACAAAAAUAAAGAAAUAUUUUUUCUCCUAUCUUUUUUUUCUUCUCUCAAUCCAAAUAAAGAAAUUUACCCCUCGUAUGUUCAUCCGUUAUUUCAAAAUACUCUUAUAGUUACCACCCAUUAAGUUAACUUGAAUUAAACGUAAAUUAAAUAUCUAGCAGAGUUUAAAAAAAAUCAAAAUGUCUAUUUUAUGUUUAACUUAAGGACAAAUAAAAAAUGUUGAAAAUGAUAGAAGAUAUAUUUGAAAAGACUAAAAAUUAAAAUAUAUUUUUUGUGCCCCUAACUUAACGAAAAAUAAGAAAAGUAGGUGAUGGUAGAAAAGUAUAUUUGAAAGGGUAAAAUAAUAAUUUCAUAAAAAUAACAACUAUUGCUCCGUUAAUACAGAAUUUAACUCUAGAAAUAUAUAUUAAAUAUGUUGGAACGUAAAAAGAAUAUUUUCAAUAUUAACCUUCUAAGAGGAUUAAAUGGGCAAGUUGAAAAUUUUUCGUGAAUUUAUAAGCAAGUGCCCUAUAAAAAUAUGCACAGAAUGAGGAGUUCUUUCCCUAACUUUUUUUUUUUUUUUGGAAAGAGAUAGGUAGCAGCACACUACCCGCUUCGUUUCUUUUCCUGACUUAUUCUAUAAAUUACUCUUUAUUUUAAUAUGUUUUAGAUCGUGCGAAGCACGAAGUAUUGAAAAAGACAAGAUGAUAAGGACACAGGAUGUGAACCAUUUUGUGUGGACUGUGUUUCACUCCUUGGUACUCAAUUGGACUUAAAAUAAAUAAAUGUAAAUGAGGGGGGAUUAUAACAAGAUGACAAUAGCACACGUUUAUAACAAUUAUUCGAUUAAUCUUUUAUCUUUAUCGAUCACUAAUCAUCCCUAGCGCAAGUGGCAAAUAGUUUGAUGGUUGGUAAUAUGAAAUUCCAAGCUCGAAUUCUAGUUGAUUCACAUUUUCAGCUAAGUUUAUUUCUAAAAUAAAUAAACGAAGCAGAUAGCAUACUAUUUAUCUCUAAAAAAAAAAAAAAAAAUUUUCUUUAUCAUUAGCCUUAGCAUACAAUCUAUCUCUAAAAAAUAAAUAAAUAAAUAAGACGAGUGAGAAAAGAUGGACAACAUAAGGCCUAGGAUGUAAAUUUUACACUUAUUUUAUAGGUGAUUUUAGUAGCAUUACUCUAUUGUUAAUCAUUACUAUAUAUAUACUAAAACUUUUUAAAUUGUUAAGAUUCAACGUAAAGCAGGUUAUGGUGCCAUUUGUGAGGUUCUAGAAGAGUUUGAGUUGAGUUAAAACUGUUCUAGCGCUAAAACGGCGCGAAAAAUAAAAUUUCGAAACCAAACCUACAAGUUGGCCAUUUUUCCCACUUCAGUACUAGUACUGAAGUUUGGGGGUACCGGUAAUCAAUACAAUUUAUAGCAGGAAAUAUUCGGGUUCUGCAAAAUUUUGACCAAGUACUAGUACUAGUUGCGGUGUACCGGUACCCAAGAUAGAGUAUCGUUACCGGUAUUCUUUAAAUGGUUCUCUUUUAACCUCUUAGACCUAGCCACCGCCCAAAAUACCCCAUUUAAGAAAUUCACAAGCACCAAGCAAUUUGAGACUUAUCUCGCUAGCCUUAACUGACCUUGUGACGAGCCGCUUUUUAACCAUAAUAGUCAUCAGCCAAAGAGCUACACUCUUUCCACUAUAUAAUCUUGGCUCAGCCGAGACUCAUCUCAUACUUCCGGCUAGUAAUUGGCUCUAAUACCAAGCGCAUAUGGAGCAAACACACUCUUACUGAGUCUGCUACUCUCUCAAAGCCUUUACGCAACCUAUGAACCUAAACAUACACAACGGGUGUAAGUGAAAACCCCUUCGUGUCCACUAAAUCCGACCGACACGUCUAUACGGCACCGAAGUGCACUGCAACAUACUCAAAACAUUGGUUUCAUCUACUUCCGAAACUAAACCAAUCUCUGAGCCAACUCUACAAGAGCCCCAUCGGCUCCCUACAACACCGACAACCACCUACAGCACUAAGUCGCUAAUAACACAAAUCUAUAACACCACAAUAGUCCCACAUUGGAUGGAAAUGAAAUUGAUAUUGGAUAAAUAAGAGACCGUGGAUAUUAGUAAUAAUAAUUUGACUUAAAUAUUUUGGACUAGCGGUUUGGACUCAAUGAGAUAUUUUUGCUAGCGAGUUAGGUCAUUACAUUUGGUAUCUGUUAUAACCACAAGCAGAAACAAAAAUAGUGAACGUGAAGUAGACAAACCAGAAACAGGAAUUAACGAAAAUAGUUAAUGUGAAGUAGACAAACCACAAACAGGAAUUUAUAUGGAAAAUCCUUUGCAGGAAAAAUCACGGGUGAGGGAAGAGACAAUUUCACUAUGUGGAAAAAGGAAAUACAAAGUUCGUCAAUGCAAAAUCGAUAUGUCGCGUCUAGGGAAAAAUAAAGAAAGAAAACUCUUAAUGGGUUUUGGAUCUAAACCAUACCGCGAGGGGCGCAGCCACCGCACCACUUAGCAGAUGUCAGUGAUGGGCUAUAGGCUCAGGCCUCCGCUGCCCACUACAGACAUCCAUUUUCCUUCACAAAAUUAUUUUUCAAAUUGAUCGCACCGCAAAACUAUCGACAAGUCAAAGUGUAACGCACUGGACCUUUGCAAAUUGCGAGGUUUGAGUGUUUGGCUUAUGUUCUGAGUUUUUUCAGAUUUUUUGGUGGGUCGUUGACAGUGUUCCGACCUAUGGCUCGUACCCCGAGAAUUGAGGUUUGAAGCUUUGCACCAAAACCCGAAAAGUCAAAUUUUUGGUCAGCUCUCGGGUAGCCUUCAGCAGGCUGUGUACCGGUACGGGGUUGAUGGUUGUACCGGUACGGGCUCGUGUACCGGUACAGAGGCAGCUUUCCAGCCAACCCGAGGCUCGGGUUUAGCAUUUUCGUGGGAUGUGUACCGGUACGCGGGCCCGUGUACCGGUAUGCAGUGACAGAUUUUGAGCAGUUUGAACUGCAGGGGUGUUUUUGCAAUUGUGGCUUUCUAUAACAGCCCCCACGCCGCAAGGGCUUUUUCCUGUGCUUGCCACAGCAAGAAUAGAGGUAAGGGAGCCCUCCUUGCUUUCUCUUUUUAUCUCUUUGGUUUUUGGUUGGAUUUCUAGAGAUUAAACUUCUCUUUUUGCUCCUUGGUGCCAACUUCACCAUUGUUGGAGGCUUGGAUCUUGGAGAGAAGCUCAUUGGAGAGGAGAACUUCAACCCUAGUUGGUUUGGAGCCUAGUUAGGAGCUUCUUAAGAGGUUAGAAGCAUGUUCUCUCCUCUUGAUUUGUGUUUUGAUGGUUGAUUUGAGAUAAAACCCUAGAAUAGAAUUUUAGGGCUUGAUUUUGGGCAUUUUGGAUUUAGGGCUUUCGGAGCUCAAUCUCUUGAAUUAGAAACUUCCUCUAUGUUAGAUUGGAAGGAUUCUAACUUUCUUUUAAAGCUUGAGAAGAGAUUUUACUCUAGAGGUGAGUUCUCUUCAUCUUAGCUUGAGUUGGUUAAUGUUUGAGUUUAGGAUUGAUCGUAAGGUUCGUUUAACCCUUAUUCCUACAUCUAUAGGGUGCUAGGAGGCUAGAGGACACCUUCGUUGGAGUUUACGAAGGGUUUCGAGACGGUUCAGUGGGUUUGACCUAGCCUAGCAUAUGAGAAAUUUUCAUAUCCUAUGUUUUAUACUUUGUAAAGUAGAAAUUCAUACAUUUUCAUAAUAAAUGUAAUUAUUUUGAAUUUAUGAUGCUUAACAUGCCUAUAUUAUGUAUGAUGAAUUUUCGGACCUCUAUGUAGUAGAGAACUAGCAUGUGGAACUUGUACAUGAUUGGCAUCCUAUUGAGACUUGAAAACAUAAUUCCUAUUGUGAAAAUGAGCAUUACUUUCAUACAUUUAAAGUUAUGCCUACUUAAGACUUAAAGAAUCUUAGUAAGCCACAAAGAGGCUUGGGGACUUGUACUACUUGAGAAUAAUUGGGCUAAUGUCAUUAAGCAGCAUUAAGCUCGGGUCAUGUAUGAACCUAGUGUUAAGGUCAUUAAUGGAAUAUUGAAUAGGUGGUGUGCUUGACCUAUAGUAAUGCUUAAGUGUCAUAAAGAAGCACUAAGCAUAGUGAGAGUUGGAACUUCACCUUGACACAUAAAACUAGAUCGUUGGAUGCCAGUGGCUAUUACCAUGUUAGAGACAUGAGGAUUGGGUACUUGAGACGAUGAUUAUGUUUGCUUGCCAUUUGUGCUCAUUCACACAUGCUUGUGAGGGUCGCUCCCUACAAGCCGGCACUCCGGAGUUGGCCUACGCGACUUAUGCUCGCUCGUACGGUAUCGAGAAACCUACGGGGUCGGGAGGGAUAGACUCAUUCCUAGAGUGGGAAUGUUGGAGCUACCACCGACACUUAGGUGGCACAAGCUAGACUACACUAUGUAGGUCCUAGAAUAUGUUGGAAACAAUGACAUUGAACGGAAAAAUGACAAUCACUACUAGAUAGGUUUAAUAAUUGAAUUACUUUGACGUGCUUAUAGCAUAGUGCUGAGACAUGUAAUAUACUUGACAGUUUACUUGUUGCAUCAUAGUAUACUUGGUUGUCAUGAUAGACCAUAAUCAUCAUACAUUGAUAGAACAGAUCAUAAUAUUUACUUGUUACCAUAUUGAGACAUAUUAUUUUAUGCAUUGGACAUACUUCAUUAUGAAAGAGUAAAUGUACAACACAUUGACAUCGUAAUGUUUAUGGUAUAGUAAUCUUAGUAAACAUACAUGCUUUCCUACCGUGGUUAUCAUUAUUAUUAUUGUUGCUUAUCGUACUUACCCUUUUCUUUUGGGGCCUAGUGGUGCAUUGAGCUGAAGUCAGUAAUUGCCCACUGGGAACUAUAAAUUAUAGUUCUUACGCUCUCUGUUUUAUAUUUUUAUUUCAGAGCCUUCCACGCCGGGAGAGGCUAGGGACCGCGGAAAGAGUAUCGCCUCGAGCUAACUGGCUAUCGAGGGACGCGUUGAUAGGUGGUCUACCUCUCGUUGUUUCCCUUUUUUGGAGAGGUUCAGAGUUGUAUCCAUGUAUAGAGACCACCCUUUUGUGCACCCUUUUGGAGAUGAUUAUUGUAUAACUUUAUGAUUCACUUUUAUUGUUUAGUAUAUUUCCUACCACCUUGUUAUAGAUGAUAGAUUUACUCUUACUCUGAUAUCUCUAGUUGUAGAUCAUCUUUGAUUUUUAUUUUCCGCUGUUAUUGUAGACGCCUUAUAUGUGUUAACAUAUGGCGGGUCUGGGCGCGCUACUGGGAGGGCCUCCGCCGGUCCCUGGGCGUGACACAAAGUCCCAAAACUAAAGUGGAUUACCAAUUUCGAGGCACAUCUAAUAGUAUUAGAGCCAAUCACCAACUAGAAAUAUGAGAUGAGUCUCGACUGAGCCAGAGUCGGAAUGACAAGGCUAAACCAGGGUUUGAGAAUGAUAAGAUUAAGGCAAAGUCGGAAUGACAAGGCUAGCAAGACAAGUCUCACAUCGUCUGAUGAUAGUAGGAUGUGUGUGUGAUUGGGCUGAUGAAAACGUCAAACCUAAAUGAGAGAAGUAUGUGACACCCAAUUUAGUCCCAUAUUAGAUAGAAAUUAGGUUGUGAUUGGAUAUAUAAGAGAUCGCAGACACAAGUAAUAAUAACUAGGUUUAAACAUUCUGAGCUGUGUGUGUUAUUGGGCUGACGAGAACGUCAAGACCUUAGGAGUCUGUGGCACCAACUCUCGGAUUUUUAAAUAUUUCUUUUCCCUCUAGGGUUUAUUUAUGGGAUUGGGUUUAGAAAGGUAUUUAGGUAUCGAGUUAUAAAUUUAAAAAUUUUCAAUAGCAGUACUGGGCAUAUAAGCAUAAACCCUAAAAACUUUAUACUAAAUAAAUAAUUAUUAAAUAACUUAUUUUAACAUCCAAACGGUGUCUACUAACAGUCGAGACCACUUCCCAUCCUAGUUUCAUAUAAAUUUUGAAACCUCAUGUAAUUUUGAAAGUUGCAAAUGAAAAUACAUAGCAUAUUAAACAUGUAUAGUGAAAAACGUCUACCAAAAUAUUUGUGUAAUAAAAACAUCUCAGAAUUAGUAUUAACACCCUCGCUUACACUGACUCUGACACGUCGUAGUCGAUCGUAUCAAACCUAAUAAAAGAUCAUCUAGAAAGAGUCUUAAAUUAUUAUAGAAUUAAGUUCGUUAAGAAACGAUCCAAAUUAAAAUUGCCCUAUUUUAAGGGAUAACGAAACCAAUUAAAAAAGUAUAUAAAAAAUAGUAGCUUUUGGACUUUGAUCACAUCAAAAGACGCAUGGAGCAAAUUACGAAUCGAAACGUGCUUCUGAUCUCGUGUUGCUUUUUUGAAAUUUUAGCAAAGCGACAAAAAUCAAAAUCUUUCUUAAUUGGACUCAGAUUUGCCCACCAAUGUCAAUGGUGCAGGACAUGCAUGUGGAUGUAGACCAAAUUUGAAGCAAUUGUAAACAUUGUCAAAAAAGCUAAAUAGUUUACAAAUAUUGAUCUUCUUUUGAAUCUGUCGUUCAAUACAGUGUUAUGAUUUCGAGAUAAAACUUUAUAAGUGAAGAGCAUCCCAAUUACGUCUCGUUGAAGGAGUUAGCGAUCGAUCUGUUGUCAAUUCAUUCUUGUAAAGUUUUAUGAUCAAAUUCAUCGAUUAGACGUCACGGACACUGACACUGAUAUGGGACACGACACGAUUCGGACACGAUGACUCGACAAUUUUCAAGAUAUUCGAACACGGAUAUGGCAUAAAGACCGCUAAUAAAAUAUAAUAUUAUUAGUAUAUUAAUAUAUAUUUAUUAUAUAUAAAAUAUUAAUAUUGGUACAAUAUUAGUAUAUUCCUCAUAUGAAUAAAAGUUAGUAAAGUUUUCAUUAAUAAUUCAUAUAUUUUAAGAAAAGAAAUUCCCUACUAUACAUAAUAUAUUUAUAUUGUCUAGAAAAAUUUAUAUGCAUUCAUCAAAAAGCGCGCUAAAAUAUUUAUCAUCUUACAUUAUAUAUGCAUAAAAAAAAUAAAAAUAAAAAUAUGUAUAUAUAUUUUUUAAUUAUAUGCGCUAUGAAUCGGUAUUGAAUGCACGUUCAAGAAUGUCCACAUUGGACACGUGUCCGUACACGCGAGGCUUAUAGAAGUGUCCAUGACACAUAGUUCAUCAAUUAUGUAAAAAAAUUUGAACCUAUUUGAGAUAAAUGACAAACUGCAGGGUAAAAAUUAAUACAGUUUUUAAUACAUGAGAGUAACUAAGACGAGAAAAAUCCUAAUUAUACACCACAAAAGGGGUGUAAAUCUUACACCCACAUUCUAAAUUUUAGAAAAAUUUUUGAAUUAAUUUCUAAUAUUACAAACUAAAAAAAAUACUACGUAUACACCGCAAAAAGAUCGGUGGUAAGUAUUUCACUCCUUCAUCCAAGGGCUAACAUUUAGCCAACAUUUUAGAGAGUUACCACUUGGCCGGAUGGCAAAGAAAUUCGACUUAUUUAUUCAGAAAUUAAAAAAAAAAAAAAUUGGAAGCAAUCUCUUUUAAUAUUUUUAAGAUAAUUAAUUAUCAUAUACCACUCAGCAGAGAGCAUUUCAAACUAACUAAUUAUGGAAUAUAUAAAUCUGAAGAUAGGGGUGUCAACGAGCCGAACAUGAGCUAGCUCGGUAAAAUAUCGAGUCGAAAAAUUUAGCUCGAUCGUGUUCGGCUCGUUUAUUAACGAGCCAAGCAUGAGCUGUCUCAUGAACAACAAGUUAAAAGAAUUAUAAAAUAUAUAUAUAUAUAUAAAAUAAAUUUAUGAGAUCUUACCUAUUUGACUUUGAUUUAAUAGUUAAAAUUCUAAAUAUAAAUGAUCUUUUUAUAAUUAAGUUGGGUUUAUAUUUAGAUUAAACUAAAAACUAAAAAAUAAAAAUUUAUAUUUUAUAUAUAUAAUUAUUUAUUUAUAUAUAUAAAUAUAAAAUAUAUGUAUUCGAGCUAUUAUCGAGCCGAGCACGAGCGAACUGACCUUAGCUCGUGUUCGACUCGUUUACUAAACGAGCUUAAAAAUUCAACUCGAGUUCGGCUCAUUGAUUAAACGAGCGUUUUGAUCUCGAGCUCAUUUCAAGCCGAACAUAAGCUGGCUCACGAACAACAAGCUGAAUUGCCACCCCUAUCUGAAGGUAAUUAAUGAAACACGCUUCUCACUUAGAUGUAUUUGAUAGACGGAUUGCUGAAUUGGCGCAAUUAUUAGUGAAUUAGCGUCGUGUCGGUUCACAAACUGUCCAAUUCAGUGUGUCAUUCUGGCUUAGCCGAUCUUAUAACUAAAGAGUCGACAUUAACAAUUAAAAUUUGAUCAAAAUUUGAUUCCAUACAUUCAUACAUUGUGGUCGACAGCGUGGGUGAACUAACAGAAACGGAAAUAGAGGGAUUCGAACCCUUGCCAAACAAAAGCCUACAUAAUAUUUAUUAUUGAUUAUUGACUAGAAACUGAGCGGAGCAAAUAGUGUGUUUACAUGCAACAGUAAUAAAAAAAAUUUUAAAAAAAAAAGCAAACAAAGUGAAUUUUUUUAAGGGAAAACUUCAAAAAAAACCCCUGUAGUUUCGUAGAUUCUCACUUUGCCCCCCUGUGGUUUAAAAUGUAUCAAAUUGUCCCCCUGUAGUUUCAUUUUUAUCUUUUCGGUAGCUUUUUCGUUAAUAUUUCAUUAAAGUAUAUACAAAAAAACUUUAGAUACCCAUCUAGAUUUAUUAAAUAUUCACUUUAGUACCCUUUAAUUUUAACUUUAUCACUGAUUUAAGAAAAAAAAAAUAAUGAAAUUGAUAAGAAAAAGAGAAAAAAGAAAUCACAGGGGGGCAAAUUGAUACAUUUUAAACCACAAGGGGGCAAAGUGAAAAACUACGAAACCAUAGGGGAGAUUUUUGAAGUUUUCCCUUUUUUUAACACAUUGUAUUUUCAAUUAACUGUGGAUCGUAAGCGCUAACCAGCUACACCAAAAAUAUAUACUGAUAGGAAAGGCACGUCUAUCGCACUUAAGGGCUCAACCACACUGCUGACGAGUUUCGACCUGACUCAACCCAACUAUAUAUUUGGUCUAUUGUUGGGCCUCUUGCCUUUAGGUCCCUUGUUGUGGAUUACAGCUCCACUCAACUUAUUAGUCGACUCUUGAGCCUAUCGUCACGAGGCAGAAAGUUUGACAUAUUUUAUCCCAAUAAUAAAUAGCCAACAUUAACAACACCAACCUAGAAGCUUCUAGAAGGACAAAUUAAAGAAUUGGCCUCCUGUUUAGACUCAUGGGUGGGCAAAGUCAUAUAAAGCAAACUAGGGCUUGAAUGGACCAUCCAUGCUAAAAAAAGCUUACAACUGGUUGGCUGUAGUGGCCUGUUCAAGGAUGAUGUUCUUGCUCUUCGUACUCAUUCAUCAAGAAGAAUUAAUUAUUCUAAAGUAUGGUCUCUCAAAAAAAUUUCUUGAAAAAUUUUUCACACUUUUUUGAAAAAAUCAAACAUGAAAAUUUUCCACCAAAAAAGAAAAAAAAAAAAAAAAAAAAAAAAAAGGAGAAAAAAUGCAUGAAAAUUCUCUAAACUGUACCUCUUUUGCAAAUAGAGGUUUUGAAUUUUAAUAAUUUUCUUUAUCAGAUAGUUUAAUAGUAUUCUCUUCUCAAGUGAACUUACAAAUCGCACAGCAAUUUUGAUCGGAUGUCAUGCACAUAAUUCUGUUAAGAUUUAGAAAUAUAUAUUUUUUCUUUCAAUUUGAUAAUUAAGUAUGACGAUUAAAGAAUAAGUUGAACCAAUUUUCUUGUACAUUAGAAUACAAAAAAUAACUUUUUUUUUACAUUUUAAAGAUUUAUAAAAUUAUAUGCAAUAUAUAGAAUCAAAACAACUACGCAGUUAAUAAUUUUAUCUAAAAAAUUUUAUUGAACUAUUUGAUAAAUUUUAAAUUGUUUUUUUCAAAAUUCAAAAUCCAUAUGUCUAUUUAUAAAUAAGCUAAAGUUAAAAAAUAAUAAUAAUAAUCUUCAUACAUUAUACUAAAAAAAAAGAAAACAAUGCCCAGGAAAUUUCUUUUAUAGAGUAGGUCCAUGCAAUUGGAGAGACAAAGCAUGUGUAGAUGAGAAUUUUAAGAACAAAACCAUACGCGUUUAUUAACAUUGCGACUUUAUAGCAUGCUAGAUCUUUGGUAUGGGUUAAUUAUAUACAGCUUUCUAUAAACAUAUCAAAUAGUAAAUAUAUAUUCCUACAAAAUUUAUCUUUUUUUUAUUUAUUUCUGCAAAAGUUAAGUAAUAUUUAUAUUUGUCCUUCGGAUAUGUUACCGUUAGAACACUCUAUUUAUUUUUUAACAGAGUAUAAGUAAAAUGAUAUUUUUACCUUCUAAAAUGAUCAGCUAACAGUUCCUACCCUCAGGUGGAAUAGGGGUGGGAACAAAUAGUUUCUACCCCUAUUUUUUAAAAAAUUUAAAAUUUAAAAAGUUUAAUUUUAAUUUUAAAUCUUAAAUUUUUAUAAUUUAUAAUUUUAAAAUUAAAGCUUAUAAUUUUAAAUUCUAAAUUUUGAAUUUUAAUUUGAUAUUUUAUAUUUUUUAAAUUUAAAAUUUCAUAUUUUAUAAUUUCUUAAAUUUAAAUUUUAAAAUCUAAAACUUAAAAUUUAAAAUUUAAAAUUUAAAAUUUAAAACUUAAAAUUUAAAAUUUGAAAUUUAAAAUUUAAAAAUUUAAAAUUUAAAAUUUAAAACUUAAAAUUUAAAAUUUAAAAAUUUAAAAUAUAAAAUGUAAGAUUUAAGAUAUUAAGAUUUUAAAUUUUAAAACUUAUAAUUUAUAAUUUUAAAAUUUAUAAUUUAUAAUUUUGAAAUUUAAAGUUUGAGAGUUUAAUUUUAAAUUUUAAUUUCAGAUUUUAAAAUUUAAAAAUUAAAAUUUUUAAUUUUAAAAAAAUUAAAAUUUCAAAAUUCAAAUAUAACGAGAGAAAUAAUCUCAAUUUUCUACUUAUAACUUCCCACUAAUCUUCUUAUUCCAUAUUUUUUAUCCAAACGCUAUUUUUCUUACUCCCGGGAGCAACCAAUUUUCAUCCAAACACAAAAUUAAUCUAGUUCUUGCUUAUACCUAAACUUAUACCUAUUCCUGAAAUAAGCAGUUCUUAUUUAUACCUGAGCCAAACAAAACUUAUAGAAAUAUAUUUAUUAUUCGAUAUGUUUACAGAAAACUGUAUGCAAUUAGCCCAAAUUUGUUAAAUCUAAGUCCCUUAAGUCUCAAGUUCAAAAUCUAAAUAUUUCAUAUUUUCAAUUAUAUAUAUAAUGAUUAUAAAUAAAUAUGUAUAUAGUUUUUUAUUAAAUAUAAUAGAGAGCACUAUAAUUAUAAAUAAUUUUUUACUCUGUUAUAAGUAAUAGAAUGUUAUACGUAAUUAUAAGUGUUGCCAUUUUAUAUAUAAAAUGAUAUCUAAUGAAAUUAGUCCCAGUGUUGAUGAAAAUUUAUUUUUACUUAGGAUGCGUUUGGUUCAAUUAGUCCCAGUGUUGAUGAAAAUUUAUUUUUACUUAGGAUGUGUUUGGUUCAAUGUAAAAUUAUCUGAAAAAAAUUUCGUGCCUACAAAUAGUUUUCCUAGUGUUUGAUUUGGCGUUACGGAUUUGAAAAAAUAGGAGCUAUAUAAUACUUUAUUUAUAAAUAUAUACAUUUUUAUUAUAUAGUAUUAUGUAUAUACUAUUAUAUAUAUUAUAUUAUAUGCUUAUCAAAUUUGCAUAUAAUAUAAUUUCGAUAUAUAUAAUUUACAAAUAUAUAUAAGUUACAGUAAUAAUGCCUAUAGUAUGAUAAUUAUUAUAUAUAAAUAAUAUAUAAUAUUUUUUUAGUAAAAGAAAAAAUUAAUUUAUUUUGUUCCUUUUAACCAAACAAGAGUGUUCAAAAAAAAAAAAAAUUUCUACAAACCAAACACUAGAAAACGGGAAAAAAAAAAAUUUCACUCCCACCGAUUUUUUUUUUUUUUUUCAAAAUUUUAUGUAGAACCAAACNGUUUUUAUUUUGGUGUCUUAUGAUUGAACUAUAUAAAAUUUGGUGUCCCAUGUUUUUACUCUUUCACCCUUUGGUGUACCAUGAUUGAAUUAUGUGAAAUUUGGUAUCCCAUGAUUUCACUUUUUCAUGCUUUGGUGUACUCAAAAAAAAAAAACUUCAAAAAGGAAAAUUUAUUCUCCAUUUGAAUAGAAGUGAUAAAUUAUCCGACAAACCAAGUAUCAAGUUAGUACCCUAUGGUUUUAUUUUUCUCUUUUUAUUAUCUAUUUCGGGGUAUUUUUUUCGUUAAAUCAGUGACAAAGUUAAAACUAAAUGGUACUAAAUAAAUAUUUGAUAAACUUAGGUGGGGUAUCUAAAGUUUUUUGUAUAUAAUUUAACGAAAUAUUAAAUCAACGGGUACUAAAAUGAGAAAGUGCGAAACCACUCGGUACUAACUUGAUACACUUUAAACCACAGGAUACUAAAGUGAGAAAGUGUGAAACCACAAGAUACUAACUUGAUACACUUUAAACCACAGAGUACUAAAGUGAGAAAGUGCGAAACUACAGGGGGGUAUUUGAAGUUUUCCCUAUUUAAAAAUAUCCUCUCCAAUUGUUACCGUUGAAAUUAUCGACCGUCGCUAGAGCAAGUGGCAAAGAGCUUGAUGAUUGGUACCUAAAGUUUCAAGUUCGAAUCCUAGUUGAUUCACAUUUCUAGCUAAGUUUAUUUCUAAAUGAAAUAAACGAAGCGGGUAGUGUGCUACCUAUCUCUUAAAAAAAAAAAAAAAAAAAAAACCCGCUUAAAUUGUAGUUAUUUGGAUAUACUUCUGAUUAUUACAUAUGAGUCUCCUUAUACAGUUUCGGUACCACUGAAACAAUUAAUUAGCCUAAUAUGUGAGUGUUAGAUAUGCAAUACUUAAUUUUUUACAUUUUAUUAAUUCUCCAAUGUUGACAGGAUCAAUUACUUAAAUCAUUUUAUUAUUUGAUCCACUUAAAAUGCAAUUUGGAGUGUGAUUGAUUAUGAAUUAGUAAUUUGAAUUGGUUUAUUUGACAUUUUCAAAUUGAAACUUUCAAUACAAAAACCUUACAGGAAAUUUUAAUGUGCAAUCCAUUUCAUUUUUUUCCUUGUACUUAUUCAAACUCUUCUUUCUUUUCAUUUUUUUUUUUAAAAAAAAGGGAAAAAAAAGCUUAGAUACUCUUUGUAGAGGUUUAAAAUAUUAUGCACUAGGAGCUUAAACUUUUAGAAAUAAGCCAUUGUUUCGUAUUUAUUUUUUUAACAAAUUAAUUUCAAAAGAAGAAAAUAAUAAUUGAAAUUAUAAAAAACGUACAACAUCCAGCAAUAACUCCAUUAUAUUACAGUAAUUACUUUUAAAAAUUAACGAGUCAGUUUUAUACACAUGGCAACUAAUUUGUAUUUUUCUUUUGAAAUUUUUGAGGUGAAAUCUAAGAUGAAUAUUAGCAUUGAAUAUUUAUCUGUAUGUAUAAAAUUGACUCAUUUAUAAUAUUUUCAUAUACAUUUAGUUAUGUUGAUAGGAGUCCGGCCGGAAUACUACCGAUAGCACCAAGGGCUUGGUGCUAUCGAGUUUUCCACUAUUAGAUUUAACCCUUUAAUUAUUUUUACCCGUUAGAUUAUACUAUUCAACCAAUCACCCACUCUACCCUAGUGGGCCCAUAUCAUCCUAACCACACAUUUCUCAAUCCAAGUACUAAAAAACUAAUAACACCAAUAACUUAGUGCUAUUGAUAGUAUUCCAGCCUAGCUAGUUCAUGUUGAUAGUAUUAUAUUGCAUUAAUUCAAUAAAAUAUAUGGAGUAAAAUCUAUUCAUAACGUACUCCUUAUUUGGUGCAUUCGGCCGAAAUUAUCGCGAUUUAGUUACCAGAUUGAGUUCGAGAAUGUGACAUCUUUUUCAGUACUUAAUGACUUGUGAUAUAAGGAAACGUUGGCAAAUAAAGAGUUGUAACGUAUGUAAUGACGUUUAUGCUAUGUAUCGGUAAAAUAUAUUCUGACACUUUAAAACAACGUCAUCAUUUUUUGUAAAAUAAAUCAGUUUGAUAUAACAAAGAGAGUUGAAAACAUCAGAUAACGAUGUUUUUUGAAGCGUUAGUAUUUGCUAUAUUAGUGGGAACGAUUUUGCGGAACGUCUUCAAAAAAAACACUUUUGUAAUAAGAUUUUCGUAUAAUGUUUAUAUAUAGAGAGCUGAGCUGGAAUGCUAUCGAUAGCAAACGGGCUCUCUUACCACCCAUUUGUUUUUUAUGACGGAGCCUUCAAAUUAAUAAUCGGCAUUGUUGAACAUGAUCUAUACCACUUGAAGUGUUUAGAAGCCAAAUUUUAAAUCUUUUCAACAUCAUUGACAUUAUGAUCAAAGGGUUUCAAAAUUUAUAAUUUUAAUACUAGAUAUGAAGCAUUUUCGUUUAACAGUGUAAAACUAUUCAAAUUAAUUGAAUUUUAGUUAGAAAAUUUUCUAAACUAUUUACAACAAAAUCUGUACUCUCAAUAUUGAUUAUAAAAUUCUUAUCAUCAUUUUUUAGAUGGCAUCCAUUUUCAGCCGUUCAUUUUUACAUUCAUUUGAUGGACAAGAGAACAAUAUUAAAAAAGCAUGAAAUUUAAUUUCUAGAUAUUUCAAAUGGUAUAGAUUAUGUUCAACGGUACCGAUCAUCGAUUUGGAGGUUCCAUCAUCGAAAACAAAUAGGUGGCAACGGAGUUCGUUUGCUAUCGAUAAUAUUCUGCUCAACUCUCUCUCUCUCUCUCUCUCUCUCUCUCUCUCUCUCUCUAUAUAUAUAUAUAUAUAUAUAUAAACCCGCAUGACUAAAAAGAACGGCCUCAUAUCCGACGAAACAAGUUCAAUGCAAAAACUUAGAAAGUGUUGAAUUAAAUUAUUGAUGAAUUACGAAUAUCGAAGCAAUGUAAUAUUUUAAUUAUUAUUAUAUCAUUAAGUAGAAUAUUAUUAUCAUUUUAAAAAGUCCAAGAACUCAAAUAUUACAUAUUUUAUAGCUCAAAUCAAAAAUUACAACUAAUUAAAAUUUAAGACCUAAAGCAACAUGCGCCUCAUAAUUUGCGCCAGAAAUUAUCUUCAAUGACGAAACUGUCUGACACCUCAUAAUUUAAGGGCCAAACAAGCAAUUUUUCCCUUCUUUUUUUUUUUAAGAAAAAACUUUAAAUAUCAUCUCUGUGAUUUCACAAUUUCUAACUUUAAUGCCCUGUGGUUUAAAGUGUAUCACUUUUGUAUCCUGUAGUUUUAUUUUUCUCUGUUUGUUAUCCCCUUCACUAAUUUUUUCGUUAAAUCAAUGAUAAAGUUAAAACUAAAAAAUAUUAAAGUGAAUAUUCGAUAAACUAUAGGUGAGAUAUAUAUGAUCUGAAGUUUUUUUGUACAUGUUUUAACGAAAAGUUAACAAAAGGGCUGACGAAAGAUAAAGAUAAAAUCACAAGGUACUAAAUCAAUAUAUUUUAAAUCCCAGAAUAUUAUAGUGAGAAAAUACGAAACCACGGGAAUAAUAUUUAAAGUUUUUUUUUUUUAAUGAUAUACAACUAUAUAUCUUUCACAUAUGAAUGUUCCAACAAGUUCCUGCUCAAUAUAUAUAUUCAACAUAAAAAGACCAAAAAGAAUAUAAUAUUUUCACAUAAAUAUAUAUAUAAAAAAAAAAAAAUCAGAGGGCUCCACAAUUCUUGGCCUAUAAAAACUCAAAAACUCCCACUCCCCAACUAAUAAUAAUAAUAACUUUUCUCUCUCUCUCUCUCCCUCUCUCUCUAUACAUAUACUCUCUCUCUCUCUCUACAUAUACUCUCUCUCUCUCUGUUUCUCAUGCAUGUACCGUACACGAAUCCUCAUCAUCACGAUCGACGUUGAUCGCGGAACGGACGGCGGAGAUUCGAAGGAGGUGGAUCGGAGGAGGACACUAGCGAGGAGGAGGAGGAGGAGGAGGGGAAGAGGAGGAGCACAUGUUCGGGCGCUACGACCCCGCACGUGCCGAGCAGGACACGUCAGCAAUCGUCUCCGCUCUCUCGCACGUGCUCCACUCGAGCUCGAACUCCGCCCAUGGGGCCGUGGCCGAGCCGGUCGGGGCGAACCGGGCUUCCGCUGAACCGGCCGGUUCGGAUUCUGCGGGGAUGAAUGAAGUAAUAACACGACCCUCCGAGGACCAAGGUGCAUAACGAUCACCAUAAUAUAGAUAAUAAUAUUAUUAGGGUAAACUUAAUUAUAUNCACUAAUUUUUUUUUUGUUAAAUUAGUAACAAAGUUAAAACUAGAAAGUACUAAAAUGAAUAUAUAUUCGAUAAACCUAGCUAGGCGGAGUAUCUAAGAUAGUUUAAAGUGUAUCAAUUUAGUACCUUAUGGUUUCAUUUUUUUCUUUUCAUCAGCUCCUUCGUUAAUAUUUCGUUAAAUUAUAUACAAAAAAAACUUCAGAUACUCCGCCUAGCUAGGUUUAUCGAAUAUAUAUUCAUUUUAGUACUUUCUAGUUUUAACUUUGUUACUAAUUUAACAAAAAAAAAAUUAGUGAAAGAAAUAAUAAAAAAAAUAAAAUAAAACUACGGGGUACUAAAUAGAUACACUUUAAACCACAAGUUACCAAAGUGAGAAAGUGCGAAAUUACAAGAAUAGUAUUUGAAGUUUUUCCUAUAAUAUAUUAUUAUAAGUUUCUAGAUUUUUUUUUUUUUUUGCCCCUUUUACGCUUUCAUUAAUAUUCACUCAAAAAUUCAUUAUGAAAUAGGAUAGCAAACUAAAAAUUUUUACAAGACCAUGCGGGAGCGCAGUGUAACAUUUUAAAUUACGGGGUGACAAGUAAAAUGAGCUAAUAAAUCACAGGACGAUAAAGUGAAAUUUUUGAACCACAAAAAGGGUAAAGUAAAAAUAAGCUAUACCUCCAGGGCAAUUUGAAGUUUUUUCUUUUUAAAAUCCUAUAAAUACCUUGAACCUCAAGUACUUACAAGUUUUUAUUUUUCAUAAACUUUAUCUAUGUAUACACAAGCAGAGAUCGAACCCAGUUUUAGAUAUAACAAUUCGAAUAACAAUCACUGGGAAUUCGCAUCUUGGGCCGAUAAAUAUAGAAGACCUAACCACUGAUAGUAUGGUUGUUAAUAGGCUGUCAACGAGCCAAACACUAGAGAGUUGGGGCUGGUUUGUGUUCGUUCGUUUAUUAAAACAAAUCGAAGAUGAGCUCACUCGUUAUAAUAUCGAGUUGAAAAUUUUAUUUUAUAUUCGGCUUAUUUAUUAACGAAUCGAACACGAAUUGGCUCGCGAAGAGCAAGUUAGAUUGUCAGCCCUCCUACUGGGUGAAAAGUUGAAAGAAAAUUAGAAUCUUAAUAUAGUAAUUAGAUUUUACAAAACAUAAAUUUCUUUAUAGUAAGAUUAGCCUAAAUCCAAAUAGUAAAAUAUAUUACAUUAUAUUAUAUUAUAUUUUAUAUAGAGUAGACCUACUCUAUGCUAUGGAAAGUAUAGAGAAUCUGAUGCUUCCGACUUUUUGGCCCUUAAAUUAGUCACUUUAAUCAUUUUUAAAUUUUGGAUUAAUAUUAUUACCAUGUGAGGACCACUCAACCCUAGGGGUAGUACUCAACCCUAGGAGGGACCGCAAUCAUCCCAACCAUAUAAUUCUCGAUCCAAAUGUCAAAAUAUCUAAAACAUCAAAUCCUUUAUACUUUCUAUAGUAUAGUAGCUUUACACUUUUAUACAUCUAUACAAAGAGUGAUAGAGAAAUAUUUUCGGCCCUUGGAUAAAUGGAUGUGCGGUUAUGAUUAUUAUAAUCCUCUAGCGUAGAGUGGGUGGUUUGUUGAAUAGUAUGAUCUAACAGAUGGAAAUAGUCAAAGGAAUAGAUCUAACUAUGAAAAACUGAGUGGCACAAAGUGCUUGGUGCUAUUGAUAGCAUUGUAUCUGGACUCGAUAUAUAUAUAUAUAUAUUGNGUCGGGGUCGGGGUGGGCGGUGGGGAUGCGCAGGUAUUCUUGGAGCCGCCGGAUUUGGGCUUCUUCGCGGUCGGAGAAGGGCGCGGACGGACGCAACAAAGUUAGCAAAAGAGCGAGGAGAAGGAGGAAAGCGCGGGCGGGAGUGCGAGGGAGUGAGGAGGAAAGCAUGGCUGCUUUGCUGUGCUGGUGCCUGCCUGCCUGGUGGGUCUUCUACAACAGUCUGCACUAGACUGCUGACUGCCUUUUCCCGUACGAGUUAUCCCUCAGCAGAAGGGACAGAUUUCCCUGCGAGAAAAUACACCUGGUUUUCUUCUUCUUCUUCUUCUUUUUUUACAGAGAAAAAUAGCGUAUUACUCGUUUCUUUUAUUUUUUUUUUUAAAUAAAUUUAGCUCGAGAAUGUGAAUCAAGCCACUUGCACUAGGUACAACCGGUGAUUCUCUGGUUAUUCGAGUUUGAUGUUAGACAAUCUUGGUUUGGAUGUCAAAGAAAAAAAUAUCCAAUUCCUUUUUUUCUAAUUUUAGUAUAGUUUUAAAUAAAAGUACCAAAAAAUAGAUAAAUAUUUAUAAAACUAAGUGAUUAAUUUUAUACUUUUCCAAAUUUUAUGAUUCACGAAUAUAUUUCUCUAAAAAUUUUGACAUGUUUUUAUUUGUUUCUGCACAGUUUGAUCUUCUUUAAAAAAAGAUAUAUGAAAUAAUUAUUUUCUUUUACAAGUUUGUUCAUGUAAAAAUUAUAUUUUUUACUUACUCUUCUUCUAUUACUGACUGCGCAUAAAUUUAUUUAUGUAAAAACUAUUUUUCUUCCUCUCUCUCCCUUUGCCUUCUGCGCCAACCGCGUAGUAUAUCUCAUUUUCGUUGCUGCUGCCCAGCAUUAAGCCAUUUAUUCAAAUUAUCCAAAACUUUGUAACUAAACAGGAGAAUUUUUUUAGGGGCAAAUUUAAUCACUUAAAUUUUAUAAAAAUUUGGUUGUUUAUUUGAUACCUUUGCUGAGAAUUCAAGGGAAUUAUCUCUCUUUUGUAUGAUUGAAAGCUGAAGUCUCGUUUGGUAUAAUUAUUAACUUUUCUUAUAAAAUAAUAUCAAAGGGGAUAGUAAAAUGCUUACAUCUUUGGUCAUAAAAAUUAAAAACUUUUGUAGUAAAUUUUUUAGUUCUAAAAUUAUUGUGAAUAAACUAUCAAUUAUCGUUUGGCUAGAGUGUAUUAUGAGAUAAUCAACCAUAAUAAUAAGAGAAAAGUCUUUCAACCAGCACGUUAAAUUGUAUAGAACUAGCGUUUAAAAAAUAAAAAUAGCAAUGAUGCAAGAGAUUUAGAAAUUUGACUUUUGUUCCGUAAAAGAUUUUAAUAUUCAUAAUUUAAUAAGAUAGUAUAGUUCACGUGCAAAGUAAUUUAUUUUACUUCAAAAAAAAUAACUUGAAUGUUACUCAUUUUAAAAAUUCAAUCACACUUCCCAUUUAUCAAAUACUACAUUGUUCUUAAGUAAAUCAAAGGACUAUACAAAAUAGAAUGUUUAUGUGUCUAAACAUGACAUCUAAGAAACAAAAAUAAAACUCCUUACUUCCGGUCAUAUAAAAAAAAAAAAAAACUCCGAUCGAAUAUGUUAUUAUUGGGUAACUUACUCCAACAUUUAAACAAAAUAUUAACAUUUUGAGUAAUUAACGGACCGUAUCUAGCAUAGGGAUGCAAACGGGGCGGAUCCGGGGGCGGGAGAGUUCCCCCACCUCCCGCUCCAUUUCUUAUCUGGGCGGGGCGGAUUCGGGACGGGUUACUUUUCAUUUUAUUUUUGGCUCCCACUUACCGCUCCAUUCGGGGCGGAUCGGGGCAGGAGCGGGGCGGGAGCGGAUUUUUAACGGAUCGGAAUAGAUUGAAGGAAGAAAAGAGUCUCCCGCCUCCCGCUCCAUUUACUUGGCGGAUUCGGGGCGGAUUUGGGGCGGGUCAAAAUUUUUCCCAUUUCCUGCCCCGAAUCCGUCUCGGAUCGUAAAGUUUAUCCCGUUUCCUACCCCGAAUCCUUUUAUUUUCUCCCAUUUACUACCCCCGUCGAGGCGAAUCGGGGCGGGAGCUCCACCAACCCGGAUCCGUUUGCAUCCCUAAUAGAGAGAGAGAGAGCGAGAGAGAGAGAGAGAGAGAGAGAGAGAGAGAGUUGAGUUGGAAUACUACCAGUAGUAAACGAACUCUAUUGCCACCAAUUUAUUUUCGAUGAUAGAGCCUCCAAAUCGACGAUCAGUACUAUUGAACAUAGUCUAUAUCACUUGAAGUAUCUAAAACCAAAUUUUAAAUCUUUUCGACAGUAUUGACCUAAUGAUCAAAGAAUUUUAAAAUUUAUAAUUUUAAUAGUCAAUAUGAGACGUUUUCUCGUUUAACAGUAUAAUUAAAGAUAUCCAAAUCAAUUAAAUUUUGGUUCGAAAAUUUCUUAAAUUAUUUAAAAUAUGAUCUAUACUCUUGAUCUAGAUUACAAGAUUCCUAUCAUAACUUUUUAAAUGAUAUUCAUUUUUAGCCGUUCAUUUUUGUGUCCACUUGAUGGACAAGAGAAUAAUAUCAAAAAAAUAUGAAAUUUGAUUUUUAGAUACUUUAAAUAGUAUAAAUCAUGUUCAACGGUGCCGAUCGUCAAUUUAGAGAUCCUAUCAUCAAAAAUAAAUUAGCGUCAACGGAGCUUUUUUGCUACUAAUAAUAUUCUAGCUCAACUCUAUAUAUAUAUAAACAUAUAUAUUGGAACUAUAAUAUCUUUGAUAGUAGAUAAAUAGUAUUUACUACCAACUAUUUUUUCAUUAAUCUAAUGCCAAAAAAUUUGACACUAAAUACUAUUUAUACUAUCAAUAGUAUUCUAGGUGGACUAUAUUUAUAUUCUAGCUAUGUUGAACCGAACACGAUCGAGCACUAGCUCAUGUUGGACUUGUUAAGAUUUUGAGUUUAAAAUUUUUGGUGGUCAUAAUCCUAACUUUUUUUCUUUUUUUUUUUUUUUAGAGAUGGGUAGCACGCUACCCGCUUCGUUUAUUUCAUUUAGAAAUAAACUUAGCUAGAAAUGUGAAUCAACUAGGAUUCAAACUUGAAACUUCAGAUACCAACCACCAAGCCUUUGACCAUUUGCUCUAGGAACGGUCGGCUCAUGAUCCUAACUUCUAAAGAGCCUAUAAGCAUAAUAAAGUUAAUAAUAAUAAGAAAAAGGUAAAAAUGUGUAAAAGUUACAUAAACUAUAAAAUAUUUAGAAUUUAUUAUCCGAUUUUUAAAAAUUUUAAUUUUACUAUCCAACCUUUUAAGUUAUUUGAUUUGAGCCGGUGAACCACAAUUUAACUUUAAAAUUUAAACUAAUUUUUAGCUUUAAUAAAUUUAUAGUCGCAGGGAAUCGCACAAAUUAUAUUAAUUAAACCUAUAAAAAGUAAAACACAUAUUUAAAUUUUAAAAUUAAAGUAUCAUUGACUAACUUAAAUCAAAUGAAUCGAAAAAUUCGAUAUUAAAUCAAGAUUUUGAAAGAUUAGAUAGUCGAUUUAAAAUGGUUUAUAGUUCAGAUAAGUCAAUACAUAAUACACAUACUCACAAAUGCACAAAGAGUGAAAAAUAAUUUUCUCUCCAAAAACAGAUGAGAAUAAAAGUUCAAACAAAAUACUUUUAAAAGUUUAGGAGUCAAUUGUACAAUUUAAAAGUUUAGUAAUCAAAAUAAAUUUGGUUAAAUAUUGAAAAAUUAAUUAAAUUGUGGAACGGGGCAAUUUACCCUCUGUGACAAUAUAUCAGAAAUGUUAUCCAAAAGAUUGAUCUGAGUUUUUUUUUUAACUUUGUUUAAAAAAAUACAUUAAAAUCUUUCUCAUAGAUGUGAGACCCCAGUUAGUCCUAUAUUAUAAAAUAUGUAAUAGUACUAAGAACUCUUAACCCAACUAUAGUAUUUUAGGUGAUGGUUAGCUUCAAAAGGUUAAGAAAGUUAAACGUGUUAGAACUGAAGUAAUUUUAGACUGAAUGACCACACUUGGAAGUAAGGCGGGUCGGCUAAGGCUAGGGCGUCACAAUGGAUGUGUAUGGUGAAAGUGAGACUUGUAUCGGUAGUCCUUGAUCUUUUGACUUCUUUUAAGUUUGCUCCUCGAACUUCUAAAUUUUUUUUUAGUGUUUAAUACCCUAAACUUUUAGAACUAUUUUACUUCCCUUCUGGUUUUUAUUUUCUAUUAGAGAAGAAAAUUAAACUCUACAUCCCAUUUUUUAUCCCACCUAAUAUUGUAAUCUAUAUAUCACAUUGAGUUUUACUAAUUUUCUCUAUUAAAAAAUUAAACUAUUAAGUUAAAAGAAAGAAAUGAAUAGAAGACUCACUAAUAAAAAGAACUAAGUGCAAAAAAAUGACUUGGGCCGAUUUGCGCUUAAAAUGAUAAUAGGCUAAGCUGAGUGAAGUCAUGUUUAAAAUAAAGAGAGGUCGGUUGGACCAUAUUAUAAUCGAGACCUGAAAAAUACUAUAUAUGUACAUUUUAAAUAUAUUAAUUAUUAUUGUUUGACCGUUGAAAACUUUGAAAUUAAUAGUUAGCAUGAGCUUAUCCUGCAAGGACUCGUACGAAAGGCUUUUGAUAGUUCCGAGUCUACAGAGGUCAAUGGGUCGGAUUCAGGGCAGAUUUUUAAAAAUCUGAACCCGAACCCGACUCCAAACCCGAAUCCGACGGAUUUUAAAAAUUUAUAUCCAAACCCGAAUCUGGCCAAAAAUUCAAAACUCAAAUCUGAACCCAAAAUAAUUAUUUCUCUUUUCAAUAUUUUAAAAUAUGUUAUACUAAAUCCAAAUUCUUAAAAUACAAAUUCAAAUAUAACACCAAAUUUUUAUAAACAUAUUAUAUGUAAUGUAAAAUAAAUUUGGAUUUAGGUCGGGUUCGGAUCGGAUACUGUUAAAAUUCAUAUCCGAAUUUAUAUUCGUCAUAUUUUUAUUUUUGAUAUCCAUAUCAGAAACCAUAUCCGUUUAGCAUCGAGUAAAUCCGCUCUGUUCGGAUUCGAUAAAAUUUCGGAGAUCCCUACCCAUUGAGUACAAGUUUUUUUAUAGAUACCAUAGGUUUGGCAAACUCUAUCAUGAUCUUUAACAAAAUGCCAAUUCAUUUUUUUUUUGUUUUUUUUUUUUUGAAAGAAAAGAUCAGAAAAGAAAAAGGUGUUGGAGGAGAAUUAUUUUCUCUUGUUUGGUUAUGAAAUACAGAAAUAAAAAAAAUAAAAAAAAAAGAAAUGGAUAAAAAAAAAAUUUCUUUAUACUUGUCAAUUUUAUUUCUCUCCACAAGUAAUUAAUUAGGUAAAGUGAGAGAAAUAUUUGAUUUUCUUUCAUUUCAAAUAACACGGUAGAAAAUUACUUUUUUAUUAUUUUCUCUCUUUUUUUCUUUGUUUUUUUUUUUCUUCACUAGUGUAAACUUUUCUUAUAAAACGUGAAUUAUCUCUCUACAUCUAUUUGUUUAUUUAAUCAACUCAUAAUUUUGGAAUAAUAAUGAAGACCAUAGGAGGCGGAAAAAAAUCUUUCAUAAAUAAAACAUUAGGAUAUGUAUUUUAAAUCAAUCAUACUAUGCAACGUGAUAAAGUAAAAAGUCUAAAACGAUGCUGUAAUAUAAAAAUUUGUUCUUAUAUUUGCAUAAAUAUAUUUACUUGGAUGUUAUUAUUUUUAUAUAAAAUAACUGUUACAUAAAUGACUAUUUUAGAAAGGAGGAAGCACUACAGAGGGGUGCGGCGACGGCCGUGGGGCAAAUGGGCGGCGGAAAUUCGCGACCCGAAUAAGGCGGCGCGGGUGUGGCUCGGCACGUUCGACACCGCGGAGCGCGCCGCCAUGGCCUACGACGAGGCCGCCCUCCGGUUCAAGGGCAGCAAGGCCAAGGUCAACUUCCCGGAGAGAGCAGUCCUCAAACACCACAACACCGUCGACAUCAACAUCGACCGCAGACCCGAACUGCCGCCUCCGCUACCGCCACCAACGAUGAUAAAUCCUAACACGACGACGACAACGACAACGACAGCGACAGCGACAGCGACAGCGACAGCGGGGGCGUAUCCAAAUAUUAUUCAAUAUGUAAAUAUUCUGCACAGCAGCGAGGAAAUGCCUUCGUCGACGUACAUGGAUUUCUCUUUGGGGCACAUCAUGACAAGUAGUAAUGUGGGUUCUUAUAGCUCUUCUUCUUCUGGUAGUUCCUGGUCUCAUGGUGAGCCCAGGGAGAAAGAUACGUAGUUGAGGCCAGUGUAACACUCACUUUUAAGGUCUAGUUUAGUUUGAUAAUAUAUAUGUGGUGGCCAAAAGUACUUUAAUAUUAUAAAAAAUUUAAAAAUUUUAAAAGUGUUUUCAAUCUUUUUUUCUUUUAUACUAUAGAACUGAGAUUGCUGAGAGAAGAUUAUAAAUUCUUUUGAAGUACAAUCUAUAGUAUAUAUAAAAACGGUGCUUUUAGCCAUCACAUGCAUUACUAAACUAAUCCAACAACGACUAUUUCUUUACCGUUUUGUAUCAGAUUGAUUAUUUGAUAAUAUGGUAUCAUAGCUAGUCGUAAGGAAAAUGAGAUUCUAUGUUUAGUAUUGUAAACUGUUAUUUCGUAUGUUUUCAUCAACUCAUAUGAUAUGAUUUAUCUUAUUACUUUUGUAUAUUUUUAGACCAUUUACCUAAUCGUUAUUCACGUGGCAUGAUCAUCAAGACUAUUUCUAGAUCAUUUUUUAUUGGAUUAAUUGUUUGAGCAAUAUGGUAGCAGCGCAAGUCCUCCGAAAAAACAAAGAGAAUCUAAGUUCAAGGUAUAAAUUCUUUAAUCCAUGUUUCUGUUGUUUCAUAUCUCUUCUUUUAACGAACGUGGUAUGAUUUGUCUAAUCGUUGCUAUGCAUAUUUUGGACAAUUUCUAUGAUCAUUAAACAUGUAGCAUGGUAAAGACACUCUUUGGAUAAUUUUCUAUAGGAUGAUCGUUUGCGUGAAAAAUAGAUCAUAAUUUUAACAGUGUAAAUUCCUAUUGUAUGUUAAUUUCUUCUAUAUUAUCUCUUUUGUCAACACAAGUGGCAUGAUUUAUCUAAUCACUAUCAUGCAUAUAAGCAGCAGUAUUAGGACUUAUUUUAGAUUGUUCUCCAUUUUUUUUUUCUUUUUUUUUUUUUUGGUAUUUUAGUACCUAUGAGAUGGAGUAGUCGCAAUAAAAGAGUUAUAAAUUGAGUUGAUGUAACAAUGGGAGGGAAAUAUAUGCUUAAAAAAAAAAAAAAAAGACACUCUAAAGUCUAAAUAUAAAUUGUUGGGUAUAAAAUGCUGGAUAUUGAAAAUUAAUACUUUUUCAUAAAAAAAAAAUUUCUUACAGAAUAAUAUGCUCAUAUUAGAUUAAAAAAAUAAAGGCUAAAAUACAAAAAAAAAAAAAAAAGUCUUUUCUAAAUUUCUGCUUUUGCAUUUUUGUGAUUUUAUCUCCCUUUAUUUUAUAAGUCUCUUGUUUUCUCUCUUAAAACUACGAGUUUUAACAUUCAGGGGGCGUUUGGAUUGACGUAUUUGUAGAUUCAACGUAAGUCAAGUAUAGUGGUGUUUGAGUUUUCCUGAAGUGUGAUUAUUUUUUUGUUGUUUGUUUUAACGUAACUCGUACCGCCUGAAAGUUAAAUUCAAUCACUUAUGUUGUUUGUUUUGAUGUAACUUGGUACUGAUAAAAUUAGUUUUUUGAGUUCCCUUAUUUGUUUUGAUGUAAGUGGAUCUUAUUAUCUCCUAAAUAUAGUAGUAAAUUUACUAUUAUAAAAUUUAAUCUAUUAUAUAAUUAAUUUUUUUAUUAUUAUUUAAAGAUAAUCCUAAUUUAUUAUAAAUAAGGUAAUUCUAACCCAUUAUAAAGGAAGUAGAGUUUAGGUUUUACUGUUUAAUAAAUUUUUUAGAGAAGGUUGAGUGUAGUGAAAGUCGAGUUCGGCACUUUAGAGGAGGAAGUCGAGAGUAGGUGAAGUGGAGCUCUAACGAAACUUGAGUUACAUUAUAUUUUUCAGUUACAUCAAAACAAAUAACGGAAGUGAUGGAAGUUGAGUUCCAUCACUCCACUUACACCAAAACAAACGGGCCCUUAACACAGCAUCAAUGCUACUCCGUCACUAUUCUGUGCGCUAGAAUUUUGAUUAGAUUUGUAUUUAAAUUAUAAUUAUAUUAGAAUAAAUAGUUAAAUUAUUAAAAUUUAAAUAUUUAAAUUUAAUGAGACUAGGAUUUGAAUAAUUUUUUAUAUAACAUAGAUGCUAUUAUUUUGGAUGUGUAUUGUACGGCCCAUGUAAGUGGUGGACCAGCAUGGGUGCAUAGAAAGAUAAUAGGAGAAGUCUUCCGAAUUUAUAGAAAAAAAGAGAAGGUGAAAAAGAUUCAGAAAAAUGACUCUAAUUAGAGCUACUCUGUAUAGAAGAGUAGUCAGGUGUAAUUUUUUUCUUAUUUAAUAAAUUUUAUUUUAUAUAUAUUUCUCUGUUUGUUUGUUCUAUCUUUUAUGAUUGUGCCAGUUUUUUACUGAGAAUACAGAUUUGUGGUACAAAUUCGAUUUCAUACUUCUGUUAUAGAAUCCCAACAACCGGUACCAAAGCCAGUACUGGGUUAAUCGCAGUCGGUAUUAGAGCAAGCUACGGAUUCUCAAAAUCUGGUAUCAGAGCAAAUACCAGAUGUUACGGAAUUUGCAAUUAGCAGAUUUCGUGAAGUGGGUCGAAGUCUUGGAGGAUCGUAAAAGAAAAGUGGAAGUUUGAAGACUCCUAAACUCCCAUAUUUAAGCACACAACCCGCGGUAGGUUUUCACAAAGUUAAUGGUAAUUUAUGUACGUAGUUAAGUCUUUAAAAAUUAUUAGAAUUGAAAAAAAAAAAAUCAAUUAAUAUGCAAAAUUGAACUUCUCUGUUGUCAAGAUCUGAAUCCUGGAACAAGAUCCAGAUCCAAAAGGCUCGGCACUAAACUCUUAUUUAUAGGGUUUGGAUCAUAAGAGAGGUUUGGAUCCCGAACAACUAUUUCGUUGUCUCACAGGAAAGAUCCAGACCCUUGAUGUUCGCUAAAACAUCAAAGUUCCGAGCUUGCGUACAGGAUCCAGAUCUUGGACUCAGAUAAGAUUAUUAAAAUCUCAAAUUUUAAAUCUUUAAUUUGAUUCUGCUUGCUUCUAAGACUAUAAAUAUGAUAUGGAGGUCUCUCUAAAAGGUUGUUGUUAAGAAUAGUUUACCGUUUAGAAACCUCAAAACUUGUCGGUUGCCGUCUCUCUCGUAUUCUACAAUAAGUUUCUUUCUCAACUUUAUUAUUAGAGCCCUAAACAUUGAUGUUCUUUUAAAAUCAAUUUGAAAUUUGUUUGGAGAUUAUUUCCACAUACCUUUAAUAUUCUUCUCCGUUUGGUUGGAGGUUAAGGGGUGGAAUAACCCCUUAACCCCCAUUUUAUCCCCAAACACUUCUAAAAAUGAGUGGGGUUAGCUAACCCCACCUCAAAUGGAUUAUCCCGAGUUAGCUAACCCUACCUAACCCCACCAAAUCCCAACCAAACACUAUUUUUCAUUCAUAAUAACCCACUAUCCUUCUUAUCCCACCUACUCCAACCAAACACUAUUUUUCACUAUUCUCGACUAACUUCAACCCCCAACCAAACACAAAAAUACUCUAAUCCCACCUUAAUCCUAAACUUAACCCUAUCUCUGGAAUAACUAAUUUUUCCUUAAACCCGAACCAAACGGUAGUCAAGCAUUAAAUCACCAUCAACACCUCUUCUUAUUGCUCCGAACAAAGUGGUGGCAUUUGGAUUCGUGUGAAGCCUAAGGAUUCAUUCGAGGCGAAGACGCGACGUGGAGGCACAGCGUGAUCGAUCGAAGUAUUUCAAUCGAUUGGGACCAGCGAAGAAUUCUACUGCAAGCCUAGAGUAUAGGUUUGAGUCCGUGGAUUCAGCAAAUCAUCUUAUACUGAAAUUUUUAUUAGUGAAUUUUUUUUUUUCAUGUGAUCGGUUAUGAAUACUUUUACUCCUUUUGGAGGUUUUUUCACGUUAAAUUUUCAGUGUGUUGGUUUUUAUUUCUCUUUUUUAUUUUUUAUUCGCCGAGUUCGUUGGAUUUUGAUGUUUUCACCUAUUCACCCCGUCUAUAUGAUUAACGAACCUCUUAGAUUCUAAGAUUAACAACUUACACCAGAUUUCCAACAAUUUGUAUUGGAGCAUAAGAUUACUCAUCUUCAGAAGAGAUCGACAAAGAUGAUCACGAAAUUCGAAACUGAGUAGUUUGAUGGCAAGAACAAUUUCGACUUGUGACAGAUUAAAGUUCGAGCAGUUCUGGUACAACAGGAUUUGGAUCAGACAUUAAACGAAAAAGAGGCGAAGCUAACAGAAGUCACGAAUGCAGUAUGAAAAAUGAUACAGCGGAAAGCACCAAGUACGCUUCAUUUAUUGUCAAUAGAUGAGGUUCUUUACCACAUAGCCAAUGAGUCGACAUCGGCUAAGUUACAGAAGAAAUUGAAAGAUCUAUACAUAACCAAGUCCUUAACGAGCAGGUUGUAUCUGAAACAGCGACUGUUCACACUAUGCAUGCAGGAAGCUUCAAGUCUACAUGCGCAUCUAAAUAAGUUCAACAAGAUGGUGACUCAAUUGACCAAUAUCAAAGUUAAUCUGGAUGACGAAAACAAGGCGCCGAUUUUAUUAUCUUAGCUAUUUAUGACAUAUGAGUUUCUGUUAUAGCAAGGAGAUCAGAAGUGUAGAGGCCAUCACAACGGUGCUUUUUUCAAAUGAGAUGCGUAAGAUGACUCAAAAUCUAGCAUGCAGAGCUGAGAUACAGUUUCGAUGGUAAAAGUGAAGGAGGCAAAAAUAUUGACAACCAAAGUAGACGAAAGAAGCCAUUAUCUGAAGUUGAGUGAUUCUACUAUCACAGGAAAGGGCACAUAAAGUGCAACUGUCAGAAACUUUAGAAUGAUCCGAAGGAGCUGAAACGGCAGAAGAAAAAAAACUGUCGUGGACGAGGAUGAGGACACAACAGCAAGCGGAAGCUCUUGGGCCCGAGCUUUAAGAAGAGAAGAUGAAAGGAAAAGUGACAUCAUUGCGGCUUAACCCUUCCUUUACAUACUCAGGCUGGGCCAAUUGGGAGACAAUUGUUGUUAGCCUAAAAUCUCAUCCUUCUGAUGAAUAGAAUAUGUUGAUGAGAAAUCUCGACCGUCUGAUGGAUCAAUCUUUUUUUUUUUUCUUUUUUUGUGGCCGAGAUCUCAGGUCUUUAGAGACCAUUCUCACCUGAGCAGAAAGUUAAUCAAAUCCUAAUCAUCCAAGUUUAUUGUUUCAGCUGAGAACUCAAAUUCAGUUACUAUACUAUCGAUAAUAUCAAGCACGUAGUAUUAUCGAGUUUUCGCCAUUAGAUCUAUCUCUUUAAUCAUUUUCAUCUGUUAGAUCAUACUAUUCAACCAACUACCCACUCAACCCUAAAAGACUACUGUAAUUCUGACCGCACAAAUCCGCAUCUAAAUAACAAAUCCGUGUUUUUCUAAAACAUAUCAUAUUUCUGCCGAUAUUCAAUCUCAUCCGCAUCUAAAUAACAAAUAUUCGGAUCCAAUCGAAUCGGAACGCAAAAAUGUUCCUAAAUAGUGCAAAAUAUCUCAAAUAAUCAAAAAAUUCA
rnacentral:lncRNA from 1 species